GGCGGCCCUAUGGGGCUAACAACAAUCCUCAACUUUUUACCCAUCAAAUUAACCAAAACACCUUCAAAAGUUUAACACGUGAUUUAUUGUGAAAAAACAACAAAAUUGCAAACUAAACACAAAGCACCCACAACACAAAUGAGAGGCAGCAGGGCAGCAGUUCCCCACCAAAUGCCUCUCCAGACUGCAGGCAGCUCUGGGCUUUUAGACUCCCAGCACCAGGUGAGUCUGAUUGUCACUCAAGUGAUUUCACCUGGGCAGCUAUGGAGAGACAAAAGAGGAAAACACAUGCAAAACAAACACACAGCCGUAACAGUUGGAAAAGAGUUCCUACAAAUGUUUUGGACAGUGAUUUUAACCCUAACGCCAUAAAACUUAAACCUUACCCUAGCCUUAAAAUCUAAUACCCGGGUAUUACAUUCAGGAAGCCCGAAAACCCCAAACAUUUUUUUUUCAUUUUUCAUUUUUUUUUGGUCUAACUAACUCCAAAAGGUUGGAAAAGAGUUCCUACAAAGGUUUUGGACAGUGAUUUUAACACUAACGCCAAAAACCUUAAACCUUACCAUAGCCCCAUAACCUAAUACCGGGGUAUUACUUUUAGGAAGCCUGAACACCCCAAAUAUGUUUUUUUUUCAUUUUUCAUUUUUUUUUGGUCUAACUAACUCCAAAAGGUUGGAAAAGAGUUCCUACAAAGGUUUUGGACAGUGAUUUUAACCCUAACGCAAUAAAACUUAAACCUUACCCUAGCCUUAAAACCUAAUACCCGGGUAUUACAUUCAGGAAGCCCGAAAACCCCAAAUAUUUUUUUUCAAUUUUUCAUUUUUUUUGGUCUAACUAACUCCAAAAGGUUGGAAAAGAGUUCCUACAAAGGUUUUGGACAGUGAUUUUAACCCUAACGCCAAAAACCUUAAACCUUACCAUAGCCCCAUAACCUAAUACCCGGGUAUUACAUUCAGGAAGCCCGAAAACCCCAAAUAUUUUUUUUUCAUUUUUCAUUUUUUUUUGGUCUAACUAACUCCAAAAGGUUGGAAAAGAGUUCCUACAAAGGUUUUGGACAGUGAUUUUAACCCUAACGCCAAAAACCUUAAACCUUACCAUAGCCCCAUAACCUAAUACCCGGGUAUUACUUUUAGGAAGCCUGAACACCCCUAAUAUUUUUUUUUCUUUUUUCAUAUUUUUUUUUGGUCUAACUAACUCCAAAAGGUUGGAAAAGAGUUCCUACAAAGGUUUUGGACAGUGAUUUUAACCCUAACGCCAAAAACCUUAAACCUUACCAUAGCCCCAUAACCUAAUACCCGGGUAUUACUUUUAGGAAGCCUGAACACCCCAAAUAUUUUUUUUUUAUUUUUCUUUUUUUUGGUCUAACUAACUCCAAAAGGUUGGAAAAGAGUUCCUACAAAGGUUUUGGACAGUGAUUUUAACCCUAACGCAAUAAAACUUAAACCUUACCCUAGCCUUAGAAUCUAAUACCCGGGUAUUACAUUCAGGAAGCCCGAAAACCCCAAACAUUUUUUUUUCAUUUUUCAUUUUUUUUUGGUCUAACUAACUCCAAAAGGUUGGGAAAGAGUUCCUACAAAGGUUUUGGACAGUGAUUUUAAACCUAAUGCCAAAAACCUUAAACCUUACCAUAGCCCCAUAACCUAAUACUCGGGUAUUACUUUUAGGAAGCCUGAACACCCCAAAUAUUUUUUUUUUCAUUUUUCAUUUUUUUUUUGGUCUAACUAACUCCAAAAGGUUGGAAAAGAGUUCCUACAAAGAUUUUGGACAGUGAUUUUAAACCUAAUGCCAUUAAGCUUAAACCUUACCAUAGCCCCAUAACCUAAUACCCGGGUAUUACCUUCAGGAAGCCUGAACACCCCAAAUAUUUUUUUUUUCAUUUUACAUUUUUGUUGGUGUAACCAACUCCAAAAGGUUGGAAAAGACUUCCUACAAAGGUUUUGGACAGUGAUUUUAACCCUAAUGCCAAAAACAUUAAACCUUACCAUAGCCCCAUAACCUAAUACCCGGGUAUUACCUUCAGGAAGCCCGAACACCCCUAAUAUUUUUUUUUCAUUUUACAUUUUUGUUGGUGUAACCAACUCCAAAAGGUUGGUGUUACACCCCACCCUUAGGCGGCCCUAUGGGGCUAACAACAAUCCUCAACUUUUUACCCAUCAAAUUAACCAAAACACCUUCAAAAGUUUAACACGUGAUUUAUUGUGAAAAAACAACAAAAUUGCAAACUAAACACAAAGCACCCACAACACAAAUGAGAGGCAGCAGGGCAGCAGUUCCCCACCAAAUGCCUCUCCAGACUGCAGGCAGCUCUGGGCUUUUAGACUCCCAGCACCAGGUGAGUCUGAUUGUCACUCAAGUGAUUUCACCUGGGCAGCUAUGGAGAGACAAAAGAGGAAAACACAUGCAAAACAAACACACAGCCGUAACAGUUGGAAAAGAGUUCCUACAAAUGUUUUGGACAGUGAUUUUAACCCUAACGCCAUAAAACUUAAACCUUACCCUAGCCUUAAAAUCUAAUACCCGGGUAUUACAUUCAGGAAGCCCGAAAACCCCAAACAUUUUUUUUUCAUUUUUCAUUUUUUUUUGGUCUAACUAACUCCAAAAGGUUGGAAAAGAGUUCCUACAAAGGUUUUGGACAGUGAUUUUAACACUAACGCCAAAAACCUUAAACCUUACCAUAGCCCCAUAACCUAAUACCGGGGUAUUACUUUUAGGAAGCCUGAACACCCCAAAUAUGUUUUUUUUUCAUUUUUCAUUUUUUUUUGGUCUAACUAACUCCAAAAGGUUGGAAAAGAGUUCCUACAAAGGUUUUGGACAGUGAUUUUAACCCUAACGCAAUAAAACUUAAACCUUACCCUAGCCUUAAAAUCUAAUACCCGGGUAUUACAUUCAGGAAGCCCGAAAACCCCAAACAUUUUUUUUUCAUUUUUCAUUUUUUUUUGGUCUAACUAACUCCAAAAGGUUGGGAAAGAGUUCCUACAAAGGUUUUGGACAGUGAUUUUAAACCUAAUGCCAAAAACCUUAAACCUUACCAUAGCCCCAUAACCUAAUACCCGGGUAUUACAUUCAGGAAGCCCGAAAACCCCAAAUAUUUCUUUUUUCAUUUUUCAUUUUUUUUUGGUCUAACUAACUCCAAAAGGUUGGAAAAGAGUUCCUACAAAGGUUUUGGACAGUGAUUUUAACCCUAAUGCCAAAAACCUUAAACCUUACCCUAGCCACAAAACCUAAUACCCGGGUAUUACAUUCAGGAAGCCCGAAAACCCCAAAUAUUUCUUUUUUCAUUUUUCAUUUUUUUUUUGGUCUAACUAACUCCAAAAGGUUGGAAAAGAGUUCCUACAAAGGUUUUGGACAGUGAUUUUAACCCUAACGCCAUAAACCUUAAACCUUACCCAAGCCCCAUAACCUAAUAUAAUACCUGUAUAACCUUCAGGAGUCCUGAACACCCAAAAUACUUUUUUUUUUUUCUUUUUUUUUUUGGUCUAACUAACUCCAAAAGGUCUGAAACAUGUUCCUAAAAAGGUUUUGGACAGUGAUUUUAACCCUAACGCCAAAAACCUUAAACCUUACCAUAGCCCCAUAACCUAAUACCUGGGUAUUACCUUCAGGAAGCCCGAAAACCACCCAAAUUUUUUUUUUCAUUUUACAUUUUUUUUGGUGUAACCAACUCCAAAAGGUCUGAAACAUGUUCCUAAAAAGGUUUUGGACAGUGAUUUUAACCCUAACGCCAAAAACCUUCAACCUUACCCUAUUCCCGAACCUAACACCCGGGUAUUAACUUAAGGAAGCCUUCACACCCCAAACAUUUUUUUUUUCAUUUUUCAUUUUUUUUUUUUUGGUCUAGCUAACUCCAAAAGGUUGGAAAAGAGUUCCUACAAAGGUUUUGGACAGUGAUUUUAACCCUAACGCCAAAAACCUUAAACCUUACCCAAGCCCCAUAACCUAAUAUUAUACCUGUAUAACCUUCAGGAGGCCUUAACACCCAAAAUACUUUUUUUUUUUUUUCUUUUUUUUUUUGGUCUAUCUAACUCCAAAAGUUCUGAAACAUGUUCCUAAAAAGGUUUUGGACAGUGAUUUUAACCCUAACGCCAAAAACCUUAAACCUUACCAUAGCCCCAUAACCUAAUACCUGGGUAUUACCUUCAGGAAGCCCGAACACCCCAAUUAUUUUUUCUUCUUUUUACAUUUUUUUUGGUCUAACUAACUCCAAAAGGUCUGAAACAUGUUCCUAUAAAGGUUUUGGACAGUGAUUUUAACCCUAACGCCAAAAACCUUCAACCUUACCCUAUUCCCGAACCUUAUACCCGGGUAUUAACUUAAGGAAGCCUUCACACCCCAAACAUUUUUUUUUUCAUUUUUCUUUUUUUUUUUUUUGGUCUAGCUUACUCCAAAAGGUUGGAAAAGAGUUCCUACAAAGGUUUUGGACAGUGAUUUUAACCCUAACGCCAAAAACCUUUAACCUUACCCUAGCCCUGUAAUAUAAUAUAUACAUAAUUUACAAACACAUAGUCUAAAAGAUAGACAGCAUGGCAUACCAAUUGAGUGGAGUCAUUAAACUUCCUACCAACACAUAAUUUUUACACACAGAUUGAGCUUGGAGACUUGACUGGGAACAUGUGAUAUGUCAACAUCCCCCUCACCAAUCUUUAUUUUCCACCAUCUCCACCUCUCCCUUAAACCCCCCUCUCCCUCUUCCCUUCUCUCUCUCUCUCUCUCUCUCUCUCACACACACACACACACACACACACACACACACACACACACACACUCUCUCUCUCUCUCUCUCUCUCUCUCUCAUCUCUCUCCCUCAUCUCUCCCCUCUCUCUAACACCCCCCCUUUCUUAUUCCCUCCCCUGCCCCUUUAUUUUCACCUUCACAGAGGACAAAUAGGUGAUCUUCAGCCUCGGCCUACCCCGGCCGGGGGGUAACCCCUGUUGGGUCACCUAUAUGGAGGAUUAAGAGAGACCUGAAGGGGAACCGCCGUGCCCCCUAAAUCCUCCCCCUCUAUCAUCUUUUUUAACACUCUAAAAUUAGCCAGCUAACCCCACUACAAACAACUUCAUCAAAAAUUUAAAUAAUAAAUACUUAUCAAUAACUGACCAUCAGUGACACCAGACUAAGUUAGCAAAAAAGAACACACACACACACGUACAGAUUUUCCCUUAGGACAUUGAUCAGAUUUACAUUUCUGUUUUUUUUUUCAUUUUUCAUUUUUUUUGGUCUAACUAACUCCAAAAGGUUGGAAAAUAGUUCCUAUAAAGGUUUUGGACAGUGAUUUUAACCCUAACGCCAUAAACCUUAAACCUUUCCCUGGCCUUAAAAUCUAAUACCCGGGUAUUACAUUCAGGAAGCCCGAAAACCCCAAAUAUUUUUUUUUCAUUUUUCUUUUUUUUUUUGGUCUAACUAACUCCAAAAGGUUGGAAAAGAGUUCCUACAAAGGUUUUGGACAGUGAUUUUAACCCUAACGCCAAAAAACUUAAACCUUUCCCUGGCCUUAAAAUCUAAUACCCGGGUAUUACAUUCAGGAAGCCCGAAAACCCCAAAUAUUUUUUUUUCAUUUUACAUUUUUGUUGGUGUAACUAACUCCAAAAGGUUGGAAAAGAGUUCCUACAAAGGUUUUGGACAGUGAUUUUAACCCUAAUGCCAUAAACCUUAAACCUUACCAUAGCCCCAUAACCUAAUACCCGGGUAUUACUUUUAGGAAGCCUGAACACCCCAAAUAUUUUUUUUUCAUUUUUCGUUUUUUUUUGGUCUAACUGACUCCAAAAGGUUGGAAAAGAGUUCCUACAAAGGUUUUGGACAGUGAUUUUAACCCUAAGGCCAAAAAAACUUAAACCUUACCCUAGCCAUAAAAUCUAAUUCCCAGGUAUAACCUUCAGGAAGCCCGAAAGCCCCAAAUAUUUUUUUUCAUUUUACAUUUUUGUUGGUGUAACCAACUCCAAAAGGUUGGAAAAGAGUUCCUACAAAGGUUUUGGACAGUGAUUUUAACCCUAAUGCCAAAAACCUUAAACCUUACCCAAGCCCCAUAACCUAAUAUAAUACCUGUAUAACCUUCAGGAGUCCUGAACACCCAAAAUACUUUUUUUUUUUCUUUUUUUUUUUUGGUCUAACUAACUCCAAAAGGUCUGAAACAUGUUCCUAAAAAGGUUUUGGACAGUGAUUUUAACCCUAACGCCAAAAACCUUAAACCUUACCAUAGCCCCAUAACCUAAUACCUGGGUAUUACCUUCAGGAAGCCCGAAAACCCCCCAAAUUUUUUUUUUCAUUUUACAUUUUUUUUGGUGUAACCAACUCCAAAAGGUCUGAAACAUGUUCCUAAAAAGGUUUUGGACAGUGAUUUUAACCCUAACGCCAAAAACCUUCAACCUUACCCUAUUCCCGAACCUAACACCCGGGUAUUAACUUAAGGAAGCCUUCACACCCCAAACAUUUUUUUUUUCAUUUUUCAUUUUUUUUGGUCUAGCUAACUCCAAAAGGUUGUUAAAGAGUUCCUACAAAGGUUUUGGACAGUGAUUUUAACCCUAACGCCAAAAACUUUAAACCUUACCCAAGCCCCAUAACCUAAUAUUAUACCUGUAUAACCUUCAGGAGGCCUUAACACCCAAAAUACUUUUUUUUUUUUUUCUUUUUUUUUUUGGUCUAUCUAACUCCAAAAGUUCUGAAACAUGUUCCUAAAAAGGUUUUGGACAGUGAUUUUAACCCUAACGCCAAAAACCUUAAACCUUACCAUAGCCCCAUAACCUAAUACCUGGGUAUUACCUUCAGGAAGCCCGAACACCCCAAUUAUUUUUUUUUCUUUUUACAUUUUUUUUGGUGUAACCAACUCCAAAAGGUCUGAAACAUGUUCCUAUAAAGGUUUUGGACAGUGAUUUUAACCCUAACGCCAAAAACCUUCAACCUUACCCUAUUCCCGAACCUUAUACCCGGGUAUUAACUUAAGGAAGCCUUCACACCCCAAACAUUUUUUUUUUCAUUUUUCUUUUUUUUUUUUUGGUCUAGCUUACUCCAAAAGGUUGGAAAAGAGUUCCUACAAAGGUUUUGGACAGUGAUUUUAACCCUAACGCCAAAAACCUUUAACCUUACCCUAGCCCUGUAAUAUAAUAUAUACAUAAUUUACAAACACAUAGUCUAAAAGAUAGACAGCAUGGCAUACCAAUUGAGUGGAGUCAUUAAACUUCCUACCAACACAUAAUUUUUACACACAGAUUGAGCUUGGAGACUUGACUGGGAACAUGUGAUAUGUCAACAUCCCCCUCACCAAUCUUUAUUUUCCACCAUCUCCACCUCUCCCUUAAACCCCCCUCUCCCUCUUCCCUUCUCUCUCUCUCUCUCUCUCUCUCUCUCUCUCACACACACACACACACACACACACACACACACACACACACCUCUCUCUCUCUCUCUCUCUCUCUCUCUCUCUCUCUCUCUCUCCCUCAUCUCUCUCCCUCAUCUCUCCCCCUCUCUCUAACACCCCCCCUUUCUUAUUCCCUCCCCUGCCCCUUUAUUUUCACCUUCACAGAGGACAAAUAGGUGAUCUUCAGCCUCGACCUACCCCGGCCGGGGGGUAACCCCUGUUGGGUCACCUAUAUGGAGGAUUAAGAGAGACCUGAAGGGGAACCGCCGUGCCCCCUAAAUCCUCCCCCUCUAACAUCUUUUUUAACACUCUAAAAUUAGCCAGCUAACCCCACUACAAACAACUUCAUCAAAAAUUUAAAUAAUAAAUACUUAUCAAUAACUGACCAUCAGUGACACCAGACUAAGUUAGCAAAAAAGAACACACACACACACGUACAGAUUUUCCCUUAGGACAUUGAUCAGAUUUACAUUUCUGUCUUUCUUUUAGGGAACUGUUCUCUGUUUUUAAGCUCACUUCUGAUUUUUGCUAUUUGCUCUUGACAUUUCCUUUUUUUCCUUUUUUCUUCCCCUUUCCCUUUUCAAUCCACUUUUGUUCUUCUUUUAUUUUUUCAUUGCUUUAUAUUAUUUUAUUUUAUUUUAGGGUUCCUGUGCUUUUGUUUUUCUUCCCCCCUCCCCUCUUUUUUUCUUAGGAAGGACUGACUCCUGAGGUUCUCAUGCCAGGAAAAAUGUACCUCCCUCACUCACGGUUUUACCCACAAUCCUUUGCUGCAACAGGGAGAUUGAUUCCCAAGGCUCUCAUGCCAGAAAGGAAGUACCUCACUCCCUCACGGUUUUACCCACAAUCCUUUGCUGUAACAGGAAGAUUGAUUCCUUAGGCUCUCAUCCCUCAGAACUAAAAUACCCACAAUCCCUUGCGAUUGCAUACAAAUUGAAUGUAGCAAAACUCAAUUUAAAACAAUAAACUACAUUAAAAUUAACUUAAAACAACUUGAAGGUUUAAAAUACAACCAAGAGACAUCCAUUCUGGAAUACAAACAUCGUGAAGAGAACACAACCAUGUCUGAGAGGAACAGCACAAACCAUGACUCGAGCCCAACUCUGGGGAUGUCAUCUCGUGUGAAAAGCUCAUUUAAGUGCCGUGCACUAAAGAGCAAUUCCUGUUCCAGUUAUUGAGACAAAGCACUGACCUCUGGACCAAGAAGACGGACCACCAUCGAGGAAGACGCCGCGCCGCCAACUGAAAGAAGACGCCGCACCUCCAUCACUCCUAGCCGCCCACCACCGAGCUUCGACCCGCCGACAGCACCGAGUCCCAGCAAACCUUCCCGCGGAGCGCUGAUCUUCUUUCCCCCGCCGAGGACCCCGGACUUCAGACACACCGCUGCCACCGCGGAUGGACAGCUGGAACCUUUUCCCCCCUCCAACAGAUUUUAGACUACUGGAAAAGAAACCCCUCACAUCAACAACAACUUAGGACCACUAGGGUAAGUCUACAAAAAACCUCUCAAACACCUCAAAAUUACUCUAAAUAGUUAGUUUUGUUUGUUGAACUUGAGUUUGUGUCGUUUUUGAACUUGAGUUUGUGGUGUUUUUGAACUUGAGUUUGUGUCGUGUUUGAAGUUUGUGGCAACUUAUGAACUUGAGUUUGUUUGGCUUGAUUUUUUGGCAAUUGUUGAACUUGAGUCUAUGGUUUUUAGUGAACUUUAGUUGGUGGCAAUUGUUGAACUUUUGUUUGUGGCGUUCGUUGAACUUGAGUUUGUGGUGUUCAUUGAACUUGAGUUUGUGGCAUAUUUGAACUUGAGUUUAUUAUGUUUUUUGAACUUGAGGUUCUGGUGUUUUCUAACUUAAGUUUGUGGAAAUUGUUGAACUUGAGGAUCGGGUGUUGCUUGAACUUGACUUGUUGUGUUUGUUUAACUUGAGUUUGUGGUGUUUGUUGAACUUGAGUUUGUGUGGUGUUUUUGAACUUGAGUUUGUGAAGUGUUUGAACUUGAGUUUGUGUUUUUUUUAACCUUGAGGUUGUGGCAAUUGUUAAACUUGAGAAUCGGGUGGUGGUUGAACUUGAGUUUGUGGUGUUCAUUGAACUUGAGUUUGUGGCAUAUUUGAACUUGAGUUUAUCAUGUUUUUUGAACUAGAGGUUCUGGUGUUUUUUAACUUAAGUUUGUGGAAAUUGUUGAACUUGAGGAUCGGGUGUUGCUUGAACUUGACUUGUUGUGUUUGUUGAACUUGAGUUUUAGUCCUUGAGCCAAGAACCAAAAUUUCACAUAUCGGUACCACCUAGGUGGGCAAAUUCUAGUUGUGAUUUUUUUAUACAUCCCUACAAUAAGUUUUUAUUUGAUAGACCUUGGUAACUGGUAGCUUUAUUGUAGUUAUUACUCAUUGAAGUAAUAGAGUGCAGCUGUUCAAAAACGAAAAAUCGCCUUCCUUCAAAAUGAGCUUUCUUUCAUUUUAACCUCUCAUUUAGGUGUGUUUGAACUAUUGGCUAGCCAUAGAGACUUGUAUUAACCCCCUAAGUAGUAUUUCAAGUAAUUUAUCUAAUACAGGUGUGUAUAUAUAAGCUUCAAUUAGCUAAUUGUCAGGUCUAAAUCAAGGUCUAAAUUAAGGAUAUUUUUUGACUUAGAAGUAGAAAUAAAAUAAAUGCAGACUAAUAGCAUUAUAAUAACACAACUUUAAUAUGACACUGACAUAUUUUAAAUGUAGGCACUCAAUAUACAAUCAUCCUGGCUGGUGCAGGGCAAGAAGACAUUAGCAACAAAAUAAGAUCUACUGAUGUAUACACUCUAUACAAUCAUCUGAGAAAAACUCCAAUUCCUAUUCAAAGUCCUAUUCUUUCCAUAAGGAACAGUGACGGCAAAUAUGACUGUCAAGUUUUGGCUUAGCACAUAAUUCUGUCACUGAGUCACAGUGGGUCUGCUAACAUAGCUCCCUUUGGUCAUCACUUAUUAAUCAACAUCAGUAAUCGACAUCAGUAUCUGUAUCUUCUUCUACAUCUGAAUCUGCCGGUGUGCAAUGGGCUCUUCCUCACUGUACUGGUUGGCACAAGUUUGUAAUUUGCACAGGUUUGUGCACUUCAGCCCAUUGCUGAGACAGGUGCAGUCUGGUGGUUUGCAUGUCCUCACACACUUCAGUUUGUGGUGUUUUUGAACUUCAGUUUGUGGCACUUUUUUAACUUUUAAGUUUUUGGCAAUUGUUAAAUGUGAGUUUAGGUCAUUUGUUGAACUUGAAAUUUUGGAAUUUGUUGAACUUAAGAUUGUGGUGUUUGUUGAACUUGAGUUUGUGGCAAUUGUUGAACUUGAGUCUGUAUUUUUCUCUGAACUUUAGUUGGUGGCAAUUGUUGAACUUGAGUUUGUGGUGUUUUUGCACCUGAGUUUGUGUCGUGUUUGAACUUGAGUUUGUGUUGUUUUUGAACUAGAGGUUGUGGCAAUUGUUAAACUUGAGAUUUGGGUGUUGGUUGAACUUGAGUUUGUGGUGUUUUUUGAUCUUGAGUUUGUGUCUUGUUUGAACUUUUGGUUUGAGAUUUUUUUUUUGUUUGUUUGUUUGUUUUUUUGAUUUUAAACCUAACGCCAAACAAUAAAACCUUACCAUAGCCCCAUAACCUAAUACCCGGGUAUUACCUUCAGGAAGCCCGAACACCCCAAAUAUUUUUUUGUUCAUUUUACAUUUUUGUUGGUGUAACCAACUCCAAAAGGUUGGAAAAGAGUUCCUACAAAGGUUUUGGACAGUGAUUUUAACCCUAACGCCCAAAAACUUAAACUUUACCCUAGCCUUAAGAUCUAAUACCCGGGUAUUACAUUCAGGGAGCCCGAAAACCCCAAAUAUAUAUUUUUUCAUUUUUCUUUUUUUUUUUGGUUUAACUAACUCCAAAAGGUUGGAAAAGAGUUCCUACAAAGGUUUUGGACAGUGAUUUUAACCCUAACGCCAAAAAACUUAAACCUUACCCUAGCCUUAAAAUCUAAUACCCGGGUAUUACAUUCAGGAAGCCCGAAAACCCCAAAUAUAUAUUUUUUCAUUUUUCAUAUUUUUUUGGUUUAUCUAAUUCCAAAAGGUUGGAAAAGUGUUCCUACAAAGGUUUUGGACAGGGAUUUUAACCCUUAUGCCAAAAAACUUAAACCUUACCCUAGCCACAAAACCUAAUACCUGGGUAUUACUUUUAGGAAGCCUGAACUCCCCAAAUAUUUUUUUUUCAUUUUUCUUUUUUUUUUGGUCAAACUAACUCCAAAAGGUUGGAAAAGAGUUCCUACAAAGGUUUUGGACAGUGAUUUUAACCCUAACGCCAAAAACCUUAAACCUUUCCCCAGUCCCAAAACCUAAUACCUGGGUAUUACCUUCAGGAAGCCCGAAAACCCCCAAUAAUAUUUUUUUCUUUUUUCAUAUUUUUUGGUCUAACUAACUCCAAAAGGUUGGAAAAGAGUUCCUACAAAGGUUUUGGACAGUGAUUUUAACCCUAACGCCAAAAAACUUAAACCUUACCAUAGCCCCAAAACCUAAUACCCGGGUAUUACUUUCAGGGAGCCCGAAAACCCCCAAUAAUAUUUUUUUCUUUUUUCAUAUUUUUUGGUCUAACUAACUCCAAAAGGUUGGAAAAGAGUUCCUACAAAGGUUUUGGACAGUGAUUUUAACCCUAACGCCAAAAAACUUAAACCUUUCCCCAGUCCCAAAACCUAAUACCUGGGUAUUACCUUCAGGAAGCCCGAAAACCCCCAAUAAUAUUUUUUUCAUAUUUUUUGGUCUAACUAACUCCAAAAGGUUGGAAAAGAGUUCCUACAAAGGUUUUGGACAGUGAUUUUAACCCUAACGCCAAAAAACUUAAACCUUACCAUAGCCCCAAAACCUAAUACCCGGGUAUUACUUUCAGGGAGCCCGAAAACCCCCAAUAAUAUUUUUUUCUUUUUUCAUAUUUUUUGGUGUAACUAACUCCAAAAGGUUGGAAAAGAGUUCCUACAAAGGUUUUGGACAGUGAUUUUAACCCUAAUGCCAAAAAACUUAAACCUUUCCCUGGCCUUAAAAUCUAAUACCCGGGUAUUACAUUCAGGAAGCCCGUAAACCCCAAAUAUUUUUUUUUUCAUUUUUCAUUUUUUUUUUGGUCUAAUUCCAAAAGGUUGAAAAAGAGUUCCUACAAAGGUUUUGGACAGUGAUUUUAACCCUAACGCCAAAAACCUUAAACCUUACCAUAGCCCCAUAACCUAAUACCCGGGUAUUACUUUUAGGAAGCCUGAACACCCCAAAUAUAUUUUUUUUAAUUUUUCAUUUUUUUUUGGUCUAACUAAAUCCAAAAGGUUGUUAAAGAGUUCCUACAAAGGUUUUGGACAGUGAUUUUAACCCUAACGCCAAAAAACUUAAACCUUUCCCUGGCCUUAAAAUCUAAUACCCGGGUAUUACUUUCAGGGAGCCCGAAAACCCCCAAUAAUAUUUUUUUCUUUUUUCAUACUUUUUGGUCUAACUAACUCCAAAAGGUUGGAAAAGAGUUCCUACAAAGGUUUUGGACAGUGAUUUUAACCCUAACGCCAAAAAACUUAAACCUUUCCCUGGCCUUAAAAUCUAAUACCCGGGUAUUACAUUCAGGAAGCCCGUAAACCCCAAAUAUUUUUUUUUCAUUUUUCAUUUUUUUUUUUGGUCUAACUAAUUCUAAAAGGUUGAAAAAGUGUUCCUACAAAGGUUUUGGACAGUGAUUUUAACCCUAACGCCAAAAACCUUAAACCUUACCAUAGCCCCAUAACCUAAUACCCGGGUAUUACUUUUAGGAAGCCUGAACACCCCAAAUAUAUUUUUUUUAAUUUUUCAUUUUUUUUUUUGGUCUAACUAACUCCAAAAGGUUGGAAAAGAGUUCCUACAAAGGUUUUGGACAGUGAUUUUAACCCUAACGCCAAAACCCUUAAACCUUUCCCUAGUCCCAAAACCUAAUACACGGGUAUUACUUUCAGGGAGCCCGAAAACCCCCAAUAAUACUUUUUUUCUUUUUUCAUAUCUUUUGGUCUAACUAACUCCAAAAGGUUGGAAAAGAGUUCCUACAAAGGUUUUGGACAGUGAUUUUAACCCUAACGCCAAAAAACUUAAACCUUACCAUAGCCCCAAAACCUAAUACCCGGGUAUUACUUUCAGGGAGCCCGAAAACCCCCAAUAAUAUUUUUUUCUUUUUUCAUAUUUUUUGGUCUAACUAACUCCAAAAGGUUGGAAAAGAGUUCCUACAAAGGUUUUGGACAGUGAUUUUAACCCUAACGCCCAAAAACUUAAACUUUACCCUAGCCUUAAGAUCUAAUACCCGGGUAUUACAUUCAGGGAGCCCGAAAACCCCAAAUAUAUAUUUUUUCAUUUUUCUUUUUUUUUUUGGUUUAACUAACUCCAAAAGGUUGGAAAAGAGUUCCUACAAAGGUUUUGGACAGUGAUUUUAACCCUAACGCCAAAAACCUUAAACCUUUCCCUAGUCCCAAACCUAAUACCUGGGUAUUACCUUCAGGAAGCCCGAAAACCCCAAAUAUUUUUUUCUUUUUUCAUAUUUUUUGGUCUAACUAACUCCAAAAGGUUGGAAAAGAGUUCCUACAAAGGUUUUGGACAGUGAUUUUAACCCUAACGCCAAAAAACUUAAACCUUACCAUAGCCCCAAAACCUAAUACCCGGGUAUUACUUUCAGGGAGCCCGAAAACCCCCAAUAAUAUUUUUUUCUUUUUUCAUAUUUUUUGGUGUAACUAACUCCAAAAGGUUGGAAAAGAGUUCCUACAAAGGUUUUGGACAGUGAUUUUAACCCUAAUGCCAAAAAACUUAAACCUUUCCCUAGCCUUAAAAUCUAAUACCCGGGUAUUACAUUCAGGAAGCCCGUAAACCCCAAAUAUUUUUUUUUUCAUUUUUCAUUUUUUUUUUGGUCUAACUAACUCCAAAAGGUUGAAAAAGAGUUCCUACAAAGGUUUUGGACAGUGAUUUUAAACCUAACGCCAAAACGUUAAACCUGACCAUAGCCCCAUAACCUAAUACGUAUUACUUUCAGGAAGCCUGAACACCCCAAAUAUUUUUUUUUCAUUUUCCUUUUUUUUUUGGUCUAACUAACUCCAAAAGGUUGGAAAAGAGUUCCUACAAAGGUUUUGGACAGUGAUUUUAACCCUAAUGCCAAAAAACUUAAACCUUACCCUGGCCUUAAAAUCUAAUACCCGGGUAUUACAUUCAGGAAGCCCGAACACCCCAAAUAUUUUUUUUUUUCAUUUUACAUUUUUUUUGGUGUAACCAACUCCAAAAGGUUGGAAAAGAGUUCCUACAAAGGUUUUGGACAGUGAUUUUAACCCUAACGCCAAAAAACUUAAACCUUACCAUAGCCCCAAAACCUAAUACCCGGGUAUUACUUUUAGGAAGCCUGAACACCCCAAAUAUUUUUUUUCAUUUUUCUUUUUUUUUUGGUCUAACUAACUCCAAAAGGUUGGAAAAGAUUUCCUACAAAGGUUUUGGACAGUGAUUUUAACCCUAACGCCAAAAACCUUAAACCUUUCCCUAGUCCCAAACCUAAUACCUGGGUAUUACCUUCAGGAAGCCCGAAAACCCCAAAUAUUUUUUUCUUUUUUCAUAUUUUUUGGUCUAACUAACUCCAAAAGGUUGGAAAAGAGUUCCUACAAAGGUUUUGGACAGUGAUUUUAACCCUAACGCCAAAAACCUUAAACCUUACCAUAGCCCUAUAACCUAAUACCCAGGUAUUACUUUUAGGAAGCCUGAACACCCCAAAUAUUUUUUGUUCAUUUUUCUUUUUUUUUUUGGUCUAACUAACUCCAAAAGGUUGGAAAAGAGUUCCUACAAAGGUUUUGGACAGUGAUUUUAACCCUAACGCCAAAAACCUUAAACCUUUCCCCAGUCCCAAAACCUAAUACCUGGGUAUUACCUUCAGGAAGCCCGAAAACCCCCAAUAAUAUUUUUUUCUUUUUUCAUAUUUUUUGGUCUAACUAACUCCAAAAGGUUGGAAAAGAGUUCCUACAAAGGUUUUGGACAGUGAUUUUAACCCUAACGCCAAAAAACUUAAACCUUACCAUAGCCCCAAAACCUAAUACCCGGGUAUUACUUUCAGGGAGCCCGAAAACCCCCAAUAAUAUUUUUUUCUUUUUUCAUAUUUUUUGGUCUAACUAACUCCAAAAGGUUGGAAAAGAGUUCCUACAAAGGUUUUGGACAGUGAUUUUAACCCUAACGCCAAAAACCUUAAACCUUUCCCUGGCCUUAAAAUCUAAUACCCGGGUAUUACAUUCAGGAAGCCCGUAAACCCCAAAUAUUUUUUUUUUCAUUUUUCAUUUUUUUUUUGGUCUAACUAACUCUAAAAGGUUGAAAAAGAGUUCCUACAAAGGUUUUGGACAGUGAUUUUAAACCUAACGCCAAAACGUUAAACCUGACCAUAGCCCCAUAACCUAAUACGUAUUACUUUCAGGAAGCCUGAACACCCCAAAUAUUUUUUUUUCAUUUUCCUUUUUUUUUUGGUCUAACUAACUCCAAAAGGUUGGAAAAGAGUUCCUACAAAGGUUUUGGACAGUGAUUUUAACCCUAACGCCAAAAAACUUAAACCUUACCCUAGCCUUAAAAUCUAAUACCCGGGUAUUACAUUCAGGAAGCCCGAACACCCCAAAUAUUUUUUUUUUCAUUUUACAUUUUUUUUUUGGUCUAACUAACUCCAAAAGGUUGGAAAAGAGUUCCUACAAAGGUUUUGGACAGUGAUUUUAACCCUAACGCCAAAAAACUUAAACCUUACCAUAGCCCCAAAACCUAAUACCCGGGUAUUACUUUUAGGAAGCCUGAACACCCCAAAUAUUUUUUUUCAUUUUUCUUUUUUUUUUUGGUCUAACUAACUCCAAAAGGUUGGAAAAGAGUUCCUACAAAGGUUUUGGACAGUGAUUUUAACCCUAACGCCAAAAACCUUAAACCUUUCCCUAGCCCAAACCUAAUACCUGGGUAUUACCUUCAGGAAGCCCGAAAACCCCAAAUAUUUUUUUCUUUUUUCAUAUUUUUUGGUCUAACUAACUCCAAAAGGUUGGAAAAGAGUUCCUACAAAGGUUUUGGACAGUGAUUUUAACCCUAACGCCAAAAACCUUAAACCUUACCAUAGCCCUAUAACCUAAUACCCAGGUAUUACUUUUAGGAAGCCUGAACACCCCAAAUAUUUUUUUUCAUUUUUCUUUUUUUUUUUGGUCUAACUAACUCCAAAAGGUUGGAAAAGAGUUCCUACAAAGGUUUUGGACAGUGAUUUUAACCCUAACGCCAAAAACCUUAAACCUUUCCCCAGUCCCAAAACCUAAUACCUGGGUAUUACCUUCAGGAAGCCCGAAAACCCCCAAUAAUAUUUUUUCUUUUUUCAUAUUUUUUGGUCUAACUAACUCCAAAAGGUUGGAAAAGAGUUCCUACAAAGGUUUUGGACAGUGAUUUUAACCCUAACGCCAAAAACCUUAAACCUUUCCCUGGCCUUAAAAUCUAAUACCCGGGUAUUACAUUCAGGAAGCCCGUAAACCCCAAAUAUUUUUUUUUCAUUUUUCAUUUUUUUUUGGUCUAACUAACUCCAAAAGGUUGGAAAAGAGUUCCUACAAAGGUUUUGGACAGUGAUUUUAAACCUAACGCCAAAACGUUAAACCUGACCAUAGCCCCAUAACCUAAUACGUAUUACUUUCAGGAAGCCUGAACACCCCAAAUAUUUUUUUUUCAUUUUCCUUUUUUUUUUGGUCUAACUAACUCCAAAAGGUUGGAAAAGAGUUCCUACAAAGGUUUUGGACAGUGAUUUUAACCCUAACGCCAAAAAACUUAAACCUUACCAUAGCCCCAAAACCUAAUACCCGGGUAUUACUUUCAGGGAGCCCGAAAACCCCCAAUAAUAUUUUUUUCUUUUUUCAUAUUUUUUGGUCUAACUAACUCCAAAAGGUUGGAAAAGAGUUCCUACAAAGGUUUUGGACAGUGAUUUUAACCCUAACGCCAAAAACCUUAAACCUUACCCUAGCCUUAAAAUCUAAUACCCGGGUAUUACCUUCAGGAAGCCUGAACACCCCAAAUAUUUUUUUCUUCAUUUUACAUUUUUGUUGGUGUAACCAACUCCAAAAGGUUGAAAAAGAGUUCCUACAAAGGUUUUGGACAGUGAUUUUAACCCUAACGCCAAAAACCUUAAACCUGACCAUAGCCCCAUAACCUAAUACGUAUUACUUUCAGGAAGCCUGAACACCCCAAAUAUUUUUUUUUCAUUUUCCUUUUUUUUUUUUUGGUCUAACUAACUCCAAAAGGUUGGAAAAGAGUUCCUACAAAGGUUUUGGACAGUGAUUUUAACCCUAACGCCAAAAACCUUAAACCUUUCCCCAGUCCCAAAACCUAAUACCUGGGUAUUACCUUCAGGAAGCCCGAAAACCCCCAAUAAUAUUUUUUUCUUUUUUCAUAUUUUUUGGUCUAACUAACUCCAAAAGGUUGGAAAAGAGUUCCUACAAAGGUUUUGGACAGUGAUUUUAACCCUAACGCCAAAAAACUUAAACCUUACCAUAGCCCCAAAACCUAAUACCCGGGUAUUACUUUCAGGGAGCCCGAAAACCCCCAGUAAUAUUUUUUUCUUUUUUCAUAUUUUUUGGUCUAACUAACUCCAAAAGGUUGGAAAAGAGUUCCUACAAAGGUUUUGGACAGUGAUUUUAACCCUAACGCCAAAAACCUUAAACCUUACCCUAGCCAAGAAAUCUAAUACCCGGGUAUUACAUUCAGGAAGCCUGAACACCCCAAAUAUUUUUUUCUUCAUUUUACAUUUUUGUUGGUGUAACCAACUCCAAAAGGUUGGAAAAGAGUUCCUACAAAGGUUUUGGACAGUGAUUUUAACCCUAACGCCAAAAAACUUAAACCUUACCCUAGCCCAAAAUCCUAAUACCCGGGUAUUACAUUCAGGAACCCCGAAAACCCCAAAUAUUUUUUUUUUCAUUUUUCAUUUUUUUUUUGGUCUAACUAACUCCAAAAGGUUGGAAAAGAGUUCCUACAAAGGUUUUGGACAGUGAUUUUAACCCUAACGCCAAAAACCUUAAACCUUUCCCAGCCCAAAACCUAAUACCCGGGUAUUACUUCAGGAAGCCCGAAAACCCCAAUAAUAUUUUUUUCUUUUUUCAUACUUUUUGGUCUAACUAACUCCAAAAGGUUGGAAAAGAGUUCCUACAAAGGUUUUGGACAGUGAUUUUAACCCUAACGCCAAAAAACUUAAACCUUACCCUAGACUUAAAAUCUAAUACCCGGGUAUUACCUUCAGGAAGCCCGAACACCCCAAAUAUUUUUUUGUACAUUUUACAUUUUUGUUGGUGUAACCAACUCCAAAAGGUUGGAAAAGAGUUCCUACAAAGGUUUUGGACAGUGAUUUUAACCCUAACGCCCAAAAACUUAAACUUUACCCUAGCCUUAAGAUCUAAUACCCGGGUAUUACAUUCAGGAAGCCCGAAAACCCCAAAUAUAUAUUUUUUCAUUUUUCUUUUUUUUUUUGGUUUAACUAACUCCAAAAGGUUGGAAAAGAGUUCCUACAAAGGUUUUGGACAGUGAUUUUAACCCUAACGCCAAAAAACUUAAACCUUACCCUAGCCUUAAAAUCUAAUACCCGGGUAUUACAUUCAGGAAGCCCGAAAACCCCAAAUAUAUUUUUUUCUUUUUUCAUAUUUUUUGGUCUAACUAACUCCAAAAGGUUGGAAAAGAGUUCCUACAAAGGUUUUGGACAGUGAUUUUAACCCUAACGCCAAAAAACUUAAACCUUACCCUAGCCACAAAACCUAAUACCUGGGUAUUACUUUUAGGAAGCCUGAACUCCCCAAAUAUUUUUUUUUCAUUUUUCUUUUUUUUUUGGUCUAACUAACUCCAAAAGGUUGGAAAAGAGUUCCUACAAAGGUUUUGGACAGUGAUUUUAACCCUAACGCCAAAAACCUUAAACCUUUCCCCAGUCCCAAAACCUAAUACCUGGGUAUUACUUUUAGGAAGCCUGAACACCCCAAAUAUUUUUUUUUCAUUUUUCUUUUUUUUUGGUCUAACUAACUCCAAAAGGUUGGAAAAGAGUUCCUACAAAGGUUUUGGACAGUGAUUUUAACCCUAACGCCAAAAAACUUAAACCUUACCCUGGCCUUAAAAUCUAAUACCCGGGUAUUACAUUCAGGAAGCCCGAACACCCCAAAUAUUUUUUUUUUUCAUUUUACAUUUUUUUUGGUGUAACCAACUCCAAAAGGUUGGAAAAGAGUUCCUACAAAGGUUUUGGACAGUGAUUUUAACCCUAACGCCAAAAACCUUAAACCUUACCAUAGCCCUAUAACCUAAUACCCAGGUAUUACUUUUAGGAAGCCUGAACACCCCAAAUAUUUUUUUUUCAUUUUUCUUUUUUUUUGGUCUAACUAACUCCAAAAGGUUGGAAAAGAGUUCCUACAAAGGUUUUGGACAGUGAUUUUAACCCUAACGCCAAAAACCUUAAACCUUUCCCCAGUCCCAAACCUAAUACCUGGGUAUUACCUUCAGGAAGCCCGAAAACCCCCAAUAAUAUUUUUUUCUUUUUUCAUAUUUUUUGGUCUAACUAACUCCAAAAGGUUGGAAAAGAGUUCCUACAAAGGUUUUGGACAGUGAUUUUAACCCUAACGCCAAAAAACUUAAACCUUACCAUAGCCCCAAAACCUAAUACCCGGGUAUUACUUUCAGGGAGCCCGAAAACCCCCAAUAAUAUUUUUUUCUUUUUUCAUAUUUUUUGGUCUAACUAACUCCAAAAGGUUGGAAAAGAGUUCCUACAAAGGUUUUGGACAGUGAUUUUAACCCUAACGCCAAAAAACUUAAACCUUUCCCCAGCCCCAAAACCUAAUACCCGGGUAUUACCUUCAGGAAGCCCGAAAACCCCCAAUAAUAUUUUUUUCUUUUUUCAUAUUUUUUGGUCUAACUAACUCCAAAAGGUUGGAAAAGAGUUCCUACAAAGGUUUUGGACAGUGAUUUUAACCCUAACGCCAAAAAACUUAAACCUUACCAUAGCCCCAAAACCUAAUACCCGGGUAUUACUUUCAGGGAGCCCGAAAACCCCCAAUAAUAUUUUUUUCUUUUUUCAUAUUUUUUGGUCUAACUAACUCCAAAAGGUUGGAAAAGAGUUCCUACAAAGGUUUUGGACAGUGAUUUUAACCCUAACGCCAAAAAACUUAAACCUUUCCCUGGCCUUAAAAUCUAAUACCCGGGUAUUACAUUCAGGAAGCCCGUAAACCCCAAAUAUUUUUUUUUUUUUUUCAUUUUUUUUUUGGUCUAACUAACUCCAAAAGGUUGAAAAAGAGUUCCUACAAAGGUUUUGGACAGUGAUUUUAACCCUAACGCCAAAAACCUUAAACCUUACCAUAGCCCCAUAACCUAAUACCCGGGUAUUACUUUUAGGAAGCCUGAACACCCCAAAUAUAUUUUUUUUAAUUUUUCAUUUUUUUUUUGGUCUAACUAAAUCCAAAAGGUUGUUAAAGAGUUCCUACAAAGGUUUUGGACAGUGAUUUUAACCCUAACGCCAAAACGUUAAACCUUACCAUAGCCCCAUAACCUAAUACCCGGGUAUUACUUUUAGGAAGCCUGAACACCCCAAAUAUUUUUUUUCAUUUUUCUUUUUUUUUUGGUCUAACUAACUCCAAAAGGUUGGAAAAGAGUUCCUACAAAGGUUUUGGACAGUGAUUUUAACCCUAACGCCAAAAAACUUAAACCUUUCCCCAGUCCCAAAACCUAAUACCUGGGUAUUACCUUCAGGAAGCCCGAAAACCCCCAAUAAUAUUUUUUUUUUUUUCAUAUUUUUUGGUCUAACUAACUCCAAAAGGUUGGAAAAGAGUUCCUACAAAGGUUUUGGACAGUGAUUUUAACCCUAACGCCAAAAAACUUAAACCUUACCAUAGCCCCAAAACCUAAUACCCGGGUAUUACUUUCAGGGAGCCCGAAAACCCCCAAUAAUAUUUUUUUCUUUUUUCAUAUUUUUGGUCUAACUAACUCCAAAAGGUUGGAAAAGAGUUCCUACAAAGGUUUUGGACAGUGAUUUUAACCCUAACGCCAAAAAACUUAAACCUUUCCCUAGCCUUAAAAUCUAAUACCCGGGUAUUACAUUCAGGAAGCCCGAAAACCCCCAAUAAUAUUUUUUUCUUUUUUCAUUUUUUGGUCUAACUAACUCCAAAAGGUUGGAAAAGAGUUCCUACAAAGGUUUUGGACAGUGAUUUUAACCCUAACGCCAAAAAACUUAAACCUUUCCCUAGCCUUAAAAUCUAAUACCCGGGUAUUACAUUCAGGAAGCCCGUAAACCCCAAAUAUUUUUUUUUCAUUUUUCAUUUUUUUUUGGUCUAACUAACUCCAAAAGGUUGGAAAAGAGUUCCUACAAAGGUUUUGGACAGUGAUUUUAACCCUAACGCCAAAAACCUUAAACCUUACCAUAGCCCCAUAACCUAAUACCCGGGUAUUACUUUUAGGAAGCCUGAACACCCCAAAUAUAUUUUUUUUAAUAUUUCAUUUUUUUUUGGUCUAACUAACUCCAAAAGGUUGGAAAAGAGUUCCUACAAAGGUUUUGGACAGUGAUUUUAACCCUAAUGCCAAAACCCUUCAACCUUUCCCUAGUCCCAAAACCUAAUACACGGGUAUUACUUUCAGGAAGCCCGAAAACCCCCAAUAAUAUUUUUUUCUUUUUCAUAUUUUUUGGUCUAACUAACUCCAAAAGGUUGGAAAAGAGUUCCUACAAAGGUUUUGGACAGUGAUUUUAACCCUAACGCCAAAAAACUUAAACCUUACCAUAGCCCCAAAACCUAAUACCCGGGUAUUACUUUCAGGAGCCCGAAAACCCCCAAUAAUAUUUUUUUCUUUUUUCAUAUUUUUUGGUCUAACUAACUCCAAAAGGUUGGAAAAGAGUUCCUACAAAGGUUUUGGACAGUGAUUUUAACCCUAACGCCAAAAAACUUAAACCUUUCCCCAGUCCCAAAACCUAAUACCUGGGUAUUACCUUCAGGAAGCCCGAAAACCCCCAAUAAUAUUUUUUUCUUUUUUCAUAUUUUUUGGUCUAACUAACUCCAAAAGGUUGGAAAAGAGUUCCUACAAAGGUUUUGGACAGUGAUUUUAACCCUAACGCCAAAAAACUUAAACCUUACCAUAGCCCCAAAACCUAAUACCCGGGUAUUACUUUCAGGGAGCCCGAAAACCCCCAAUAAUAUUUUUUUCUUUUUUCAUAUUUUUUGGUCUAACUAACUCCAAAAGGUUGGAAAAGAGUUCCUACAAAGGUUUUGGACAGUGAUUUUAACCCUAACGCCAAAAAACUUAAACCUUACCCUAGCCUUAAAAUCUAAUACCCGGGUAUUACAUUCAGGAAGCCCGAAAACCCCAAAUAUAUAUUUUUUCAUUUUUCUUUUUUUUUUUUGGUUUAACUAACUCCAAAAGGUUGGAAAAGAGUUCCUACAAAGGUUUUGGACAGUGAUUUUAACCCUAACGCCAAAAAACUUAAACCUUACCCUAGCCUUAAAAUCUAAUACCCGGGUAUUACUUUCAGGGAGCCCGAAAACCCCCAAAAAUAUUUUUUUCUUUUUUCAUAUUUUUUGGUCUAACUAACUCCAAAAGGUUGGAAAAGAGUUCCUACAAAGGUUUUGGACAGUGAUUUUAACCCUAACGCCAAAAACCUUAAACCUUACCCUAGCCUUGAAAUCUAAUACCCGGGUAUUACCUUCAGGAAGCCCGAACACCCCAAAUAUUUUUUUCUUCAUUUUACAUUUUUUUUGGUCUAACUAACUCCAAAAGGUUGGAAAAGAGUUCCUACAAAGGUUUUGGACAGUGAUUUUAACCCUAACGCCAAAAAACUUAAACCUUACCCUAGCCUCAAAAUCUAAUACCCGGGUAUUACAUUCAGGAACCCCGAAAACCCCAAAUAUUUUUUUUUAAUUUUUCAUUUUUUUUUGGUCUAACUAACUCCAAAAGGUUGGAAAAGAGUUCCUACAAAGGUUUUGGACAGUGAUUUUAACCCUAACGCCAAAAAACUUAAACCUUACCCUAGCCUUAAGAUCUAAUACCCGGGUAUUACAUUCAGGAAGCCCGAAAACCCCAAAUAUAUAUUUUUUCAUUUUUCUUUUUUUUUUUUGGUUUAACUAACUCCAAAAGGUUGGAAAAGAGUUCCUACAAAGGUUUUGGACAGUGAUUUUAACCCUAACGCCAAAAAACUUAAACCUUACCCUAGCCUUAAAAUCUAAUACCCGGGUAUUACCUUCAGGAAGCCCGAACACCCCAAAUAUUUUUUUUUCAUUUUUCAUUUUUUUGGUCUAACUAACUCCAAAAGGUUGGAAAAGAGUUCCUACAAAGGUUUUGGACAGUGAUUUUAACCCUAACGCCAAAAAACUUAAACCUUACCAUAGCCCCAUAACCUAAUACCCGGGUAUUACUUUUAGGAAGCCUGAACACCCCAAAUAUUUUUUUUUCAUUUUUCUUUUUUUUUUGGUCUAACUAACUCCAAAAGGUUGGAAAAGAUUUCCUACAAAGGUUUUGGACAGUGAUUUUAACCCUAACGCCAAAAACCUUAAACCUUUCCCCAGUCCCAAACCUAAUACCUGGGUAUUACCUUCAGGAAGCCCGAAAACCCCAAAUAUUUUUUUCUUUUUUCAUAUUUUUUGGUCUAACUAACUCCAAAAGGUUGGAAAAGAGUUCCUACAAAGGUUUUGGACAGUGAUUUUAACCCUAACGCCAAAAACCUUAAACCUUACCAUAGCCCUAAAACCUAAUACCCAGGUAUUACUUUCAGGAAGCCUGAACACCCCAAAUAUUUUUUUUUCAUUUUUCUUUUUUUUUUGGUCUAACUAACUCCAAAAGGUUGGAAAAGAGUUCCUACAAAGGUUUUGGACAGUGAUUUUAACCCUAACGCCAAAAACCUUAAACCUUUCCCCAGUCCCAAAACCUAAUACCUGGGUAUUACCUUCAGGAAGCCCGAAAACCCCCAAUAAUAUUUUUUUCUUUUUUCAUAUUUUUUGGUCUAACUAACUCCAAAAGGUUGGAAAAGAGUUCCUACAAAGGUUUUGGACAGUGAUUUUAACCCUAACGCCAAAAAACUUAAACCUUACCAUAGCCCCAAAACCUAAUACCCGGGUAUUACUUUCAGGGAGCCCGAAAACCCCCAAUAAUAUUUUUUUCUUUUUUCAUAUUUUUUGGUCUAACUAACUCCAAAAGGUUGGAAAAGAGUUCCUACAAAGGUUUUGGACAGUGAUUUUAACCCUAACGCCAAAAAACUUAAACCUUUCCCUGGCCUUAAAAUCUAAUACCCGGGUAUUACAUUCAGGAAGCCCGUAAACCCCAAAUAUUUUUUUUUUCAUUUUUCAUUUUUUUUUUUGGUCUAACUAACUCCAAAAGGUUGAAAAAGAGUUCCUACAAAGGUUUUGGACAGUGAUUUUAAACCUAACGCCAAAACGUUAAACCUGACCAUAGCCCCAUAACCUAAUACGUAUUACUUUCAGGAAGCCUGAACACCCCAAAUAUUUUUUUUCAUUUUCCUUUUUUUUUUGGUCUAACUAACUCCAAAAGGUUGGAAAAGAGUUCCUACAAAGGUUUUGGACAGUGAUUUUAACCCUAACGCCAAAAACCUUAAACCUUACCCUAGCCUUGAAAUCUAAUACCCGGGUAUUACCUUCAGGAAGCCUGAACACCCCAAAUAUUUUUUUCUUCAUUUUACAUUUUCUUUGGUCUAACUAACUCCAAAAGGUUUGAAAGGAGUUCCUACAAAGGUUUUGGACAGUGAUUUUAACCCUAACGCCAAAAAACUUAAACCUUACCCUAGCCUCAAAAUCUAAUACCCGGGUAUUACAUUCAGGAAGCCCGAAAACCCCAAAUAUUUUUUUUUCAUUUUUCAUUUUUUUUUGGUCUAACUAACUCCAAAAGGUUGGAAAAGAGUUCCUACAAAGGUUUUGGACAGUGAUUUUAACCCUAACGCCAAAAACUUAAACUUUACCCUAGCCUUAAAUCUAAUACCCGGGUAUUACAUUCGGGAGCCCGAAAACCCCAAAUAUAUAUUUUUUCAUUUUUCUUUUUUUUUUUGGUUUAACUAACUCCAAAAGGUUGGAAAAGAGUUCCUACAAAGGUUUUGGACAGUGAUUUUAACCCUAACGCCAAAAAACUUAAACCUUACCCUAGCCCAAAAACCUAAUACCCGGGUAUUACUUUUAGGAAGCCUGAAACCCCCAAAUAUUUUUUUUUCAUUUUUCUUUUUUUUUUGGUCUAACUAACUCCAAAAGGUUGGAAAAGAGUUCCUACAAAGGUUUUGGACAGUGAUUUUAACCCUAACGCCAAAAAACUUAAACCUUACCAUAGCCCCAUAACCUAAUACCCGGGUAUUACUUUUAGGAAGCCUGAACACCCCAAAUAUUUUUUUUUCAUUUUUCUUUUUUUUUUUGGUCUAACUAACUCCAAAAGGUUGGAAAAGAGUUCCUACAAAGGUUUUGGACAGUGAUUUUAACCCUAACGCCAAAAAACUUAAACCUUACCCUGGCCUUAAAAUCUAAUACCCGGGUAUUACAUUCAGGAAGCCCGAACACCCCAAAUAUUUUUUUUUUUCAUUUUACAUUUUUUUUGGUGUAACCAACUCCAAAAGGUUGGAAAAGAGUUCCUACAAAGGUUUUGGACAGUGAUUUUAACCCUAACGCCAAAAACCUUAAACCUUACCAUAGCCCUAUAACCUAAUACCCAGGUAUUACUUUUAGGAAGCCUGAACACCCCAAAUAUUUUUUUUUCAUUUUUCUUUUUUUUUUUGGUCUAACUAACUCCAAAAGGUUGGAAAAGAGUUCCUACAAAGGUUUUGGACAGUGAUUUUAACCCUAACGCCAAAAACCUUAAACCUUUCCCCAGUCCCAAACCUAAUACCUGGGUAUUACCUUCAGGAAGCCCGAAAACCCCAAAUAUUUUUUUCUUUUUUCAUAUUUUUUGGUCUAACUAACUCCAAAAGGUUGGAAAAGAGUUCCUACAAAGGUUUUGGACAGUGAUUUUAACCCUAACGCCAAAAAACUUAAACCUUACCAUAGCCCCAAAACCUAAUACCCGGGUAUUACUUUCAGGGAGCCCGAAAACCCCCAAUAAUAUUUUUUUCUUUUUUCAUAUUUUUUGGUCUAACUAACUCCAAAAGGUUGGAAAAGAGUUCCUACAAAGGUUUUGGACAGUGAUUUUAACCCUAACGCCAAAAAACUUAAACCUUUCCCCAGUCCCAAAACCUAAUACCUGGGUAUUACCUUCAGGAAGCCCGAAAACCCCCAAUAAUAUUUUUUUCUUUUUUCAUAUUUUUUGGUCUAACUAACUCCAAAAGGUUGGAAAAGAGUUCCUACAAAGGUUUUGGACAGUGAUUUUAACCCUAACGCCAAAAAACUUAAACCUUACCAUAGCCCCAAAACCUAAUACCCAGGUAUCACUUUCAGGGAGCCCGAAAACCCCCAAUAAUAUUUUUUUCUUUUUUCAUAUUUUUUGGUCUAACUAACUCCAAAAGGUUGGAAAAGAGUUCCUACAAAGGUUUUGGACAGUGAUUUUAACCCUAACGCCAAAAAACUUAAACCUUACCCUAGCCUUAAAAUCUAAUACCCGGGUAUUACAUUCAGGAAGCCCGAAAACCCCAAAUAUAUAUUUUUUCAUUUUUCUUUUUUUUUUUUGGUUUAACUAACUCCAAAAGGUUGGAAAAGAGUUCCUACAAAGGUUUUGGACAGUGAUUUUAACCCUAACGCCAAAAACCUUAAACCUUUCCCCAGUCACAAAACCUAAUACCCGGGUAUUACUUCAGGAAGCCCGAAAACCCCCAAUAAUAUUUUUUUCUUUUUUCAUAUUUUUUGGUCUAACUAACUCCAAAAGGUUGGAAAAGAGUUCCUACAAAGGUUUUGGACAGUGAUUUUAACCCUAACGCCAAAAAACUUAAACCUUACCAUAGCCCCAAAACCUAAUACCCGGGUAUUACUUUCAGGGAGCCCGAAAACCCCCAAUAAUAUUUUUUUCAUUUUUCUUUUUUUUUUGGUCUAACUAACUCCAAAAGGUUGGAAAAGAGUUCCUACAAAGGUUUUGGACAGUGAUUUUAACCCUAACGCCAAAAAACUUAAACCUUUCCCUGGCCUUAAAAUCUAAUACCCGGGUAUUACAUUCAGGAAGCCCGUAAACCCCAAAUAUUUUUUUUUUCAUUUUUCAUUUUUUUUUUUGGUCUAACUAACUCCAAAAGGUUGGAAAAGAGUUCCUACAAAGGUUUUGGACAGUGAUUUUAACCCUAACGCCAAAAACUUAAACCUUACCAUAGCCCCAUAACCUAAUACCCAGGUAUUACUUUUAGGAAGCCUGAACACCCCAAAUAUUUUUUUUUUCAUUUUUCUUUUUUUUUUGGUCUAACUAACUCCAAAAGGUUGGAAAAGAGUUCCUACAAAGGUUUUGGACAGUGAUUUUAACCCUAACGCCAAAAACCUUAAACCUUACCAUAGCCCCAUAACCUAAUACCCGGGUAUUACUUUCAGGGAGCCUGAAAACCCCCAAUAAUAUUUUUUUCUUUUUUCAUUUUUUUUGGUCUAACUAACUCCAAAAGGUUGGAAAAGAGUUCCUACAAAGGUUUUGGACAGUGAUUUUAACCCUAACGCCAAAAAACUUAAACCUUACCAUAGCCCCAAAACCUAAUACCCGGGUAUUACUUUCAGGGAGCCCGAAAACCCCCAAUAAUAUUUUUUUCUUUUUUCAUACUUUUUGGUCUAACUAACUCCAAAAGGUUGGAAAAGAGUUCCUACAAAGGUUUUGGACAGUGAUUUUAACCCUAACGCCAAAAAACUUAAACCUUUCCCUGGCCUUAAAAUCUAAUACCCGGGUAUUACAUUCAGGAAGCCCGUAAACCCCAAAUAUUUUUUUUUCUUUUUUCAUUUUUUUUUUGGUCUAACUAACUCUAAAAGGUUGAAAAGAGUUCCUACAAAGGUUUUGGACAGUGAUUUUAACCCUAACGCCAAAAACCUUAAACCUUACCAUAGCCCCAUAACCUAAUACCCGGGUAUUACUUUUAGGAAGCCUGAACACCCCAAAUAUAUUUUUUUUAAUUUUUCAUUUUUUUUUGGUCUAACUAACUCCAAAAGGUUGGAAAAGAGUUCCUACAAAGGUUUUGGACAGUGAUUUUAACCCUAACGCCAAAACUUAAACCUUUCCCAUAGCCCCAAAACCUAAUACCCGGGUAUUACUUUCAGGGAGCCCGAAAACCCCCAAUAAUAUUUUUUUCUUUUUUCAUAUUUUUUGGUCUAACUAACUCCAAAAGGUUGGAAAAGAGUUCCUACAAAGGUUUUGGACAGUGAUUUUAACCCUAACGCCAAAAAACUUAAACCUUUCCCUGGCCUUAAAAUCUAAUGCCCGGGUAUUACAUUCAGGAAGCCCGUAAACCCCAAAUAUUUUUUUUUUCAUUUUUCAUUUUUUUUUUGGUCUAACUAACUCCAAAAGGUUGAAAAAGAGUUCCUACAAAGGUUUUGGACAGUGAUUUUAACCCUAACGCCAAAAACGUUAAACCUUACCAUAGCCCAUAACCUAAUACGUAUUACUUUUAGGAAGCCUGAACACCCCAAAUAUUUUUUUUCAUUUCUCUUUUUUUUGGUCUAACUAACUCCAAAAGGUUGGAAAAGAGUUCCUACAAAGGUUUUGGACAGUGAUUUUAACCCUAACGCCAAAAAACUUAAACCUUACCAUAGCCCAAAACCUAAUACCCGGGUAUUACUUUCAGGAAGCCCGAAAACCCCCAAUAAUAUUUUUUUCUUUUUUCAUACUUUUUGGUCUAACUAACUCCAAAAGGUUGGAAAAGAGUUCCUACAAAGGUUUUGGACAGUGAUUUUAACCCUAAUGCCAAAAAACUUAAACCUUACCCUAGCCUUAAAACCUAAUACCCGGGUAUUACAUUCAGGAACCCCGAAAACCCCAAAUAUUGUUUUUUCAUUUUUCAUUUUUUUUGGUCUAACUAACUCCAAAAGGUUGGAAAAGAGUUCCUACAAAGGUUUUGGACAGUGAUUUUAACCCUAACGCCAAAAAACUUAAACCUUUCCCUGGCCUUAAAAUCUAAUACCCGGGUAUUACAUUCAGGAAGCCCGUAAACCCCAAAUAUUUUUUUUUUCAUUUUUCAUUUUUUUUUUGGUCUAACUAACUCUAAAAGGUUUAAAAAGAGUUCCUACAAAGGUUUUGGACAGUGAUUUUAACCCUAACGCCAAAAACCUUAAACCUUACCAUAGCCCCAUAACCUAAUACUACUACUACUUUUAGGAAGCCUGAACACCCCAAAUAUAUUUUUUUUAAUUUUUCUUUUUUUUUUGGUCUAACUAACUCCAAAAGGUUGGAAAAGAGUUCCUACAAAGGUUUUGGACAGUGAUUUUAACCCUAACGCCAAAACCCUUAAACCUUUCCCUAGUCCCAAAACCUAAUACACGGGUAUUACUUUCAGGAAGCCCGAAAACCCCCAAUAUUUUUUUUUUCAUUUUUCUUUUUUUUUUUGGUCUAACUAACUCCAAAAGGUUGGAAAAGAGUUCCUACAAAGGUUUUGGACAGUGAUUUUAACCCUAACGCCAAAAAACUUAAACCUUACCAUAGCCCCAUAACCUAAUACCCGGGUAUUACUUUUAGGAAGCCUGAACACCCCAAAUAUUUUUUUUUCAUUUUUCUUUUUUUUUUUGGUCUAACUAACUCCAAAAGGUUGGAAAAGAGUUCCUACAAAGGUUUUGGACAGUGAUUUUAACCCUAACGCCAAAAAACUUAAACCUUACCAUAGCCCCAAACCUAAUACCCGGGUAUUACUUUCAGGAAGCCCGAAAACCCCCAAUAAUAUUUUUUCUUUUUUCAUUUUUUUGGUCUAACUAACUCCAAAAGGUUGGAAAAGAGUUCCUACAAAGGUUUUGGACAGUGAUUAUAACCCUAACGCCAAAAAACUUAAACCUUACCCUAGCCUUAAAAUCUAGUACCCGGGUAUUACGUUCAGGAACCCCGAAAACCCCAAAUAUUGUUUUUUCAUUUUUCAUUUUUUUUUGGUCUAACUAACUCCAAAAGGUUGGAAAAGAGUUCCUACAAAGGUUUUGGACAGUGAUUUUAACCCUAACGCCAAAAAACUUAAACCUUUCCCUGGCCUUAAAAUCUAAUACCCGGGUAUUACAUUCAGGAAGCCCGUAAACCCCAAAUAUUUUUUUUUUCAUUUUUCAUUUUUUUUUUGGUCUAACUAACUCCAAAAGGUUGAAAAAGAGUUCCUACAAAGGUUUUGGACAGUGAUUUUAACCCUAACGCCAAAAACCUUAAACCUUACCAUAGCCCCAUAACCUAAUACCCGGGUAUUACUUUUAGGAAGCCUGAACACCCCAAAUAUAUUUUUUUUAAUUUUUCUUUUUUUUUUUGGUCUAACUAACUCCAAAAGGUUGGAAAAGAGUUCCUACAAAGGUUUUGGACAGUGAUUUUAACCAUAAUGCCAAAACCCUUAAACCUUUCCCUAGUCCCAAAACCUAAUACACGGGUAUUACUUUCAGGGAGCCCGAAAACCCCCAAAUAUUUUUUUUUUCAUUUUUCUUUUUUUUUUUUGGUCUAACUAACUCCAAAAGGUUGGAAAAGAGUUCCUACAAAGGUUUUGGACAGUGAUUUUAACCCUAACGCCAAAAAACUUAAACCUUACCAUAGCCCCAUAACCUAAUACCCGGGUAUUACUUUUAGGAAGCCUGAACACCCCAAAUAUUUUUUUUUCAUUUUUCUUUUUUUUUUGGUCUAACUAACUCCAAAAGGUUGGAAAAGAGUUCCUACAAAGGUUUUGGACAGGGAUUUUAACCCUAACGCCAAAAAACUUAAACCUUACCAUAGCCCCAAACCUAAUACCCGGGUAUUACUUUCAGGGAGCCCGAAAACCCCCAAUAAUAUUUUUUUCUUUUUUCAUAUUUUUUUGGUCUAACUAACUCCAAAAGGUUGGAAAAGAGUUCCUACAAAGGUUUUGGACAGUGAUUUUAACCCUAACGCCAAAAAACUUAAACCUUACCAUAGCCCCAAAACCUAAUACCCGGGUAUUACUUUCAGGGAGCCCGAAAACCCCCAAUAAUAUUUUUUUCUUUUUUCAUACUUUUUGGUCUAACUAACUCCAAAAGGUUGGAAAAGAGUUCCUACAAAGGUUUUGGACAGUGAUUUUAACCCUAACGCCAAAAACCUUAAACCUUACCCUAGCCUUAAAAUCUAAUACCGGGGUAUUACCUUCAGGAAGCCCGAACACCCCAAAUAUUUUUUUGUUCAUUUUACAUUUUUUUUGGUGUAACUAACUCCAAAAGGUUGGAAAAGAGUUCCUACAAAGGUUUUGGACAGUGAUUUUAACCCUAACGCCAAAAAACUUAAACCUUACCCUAGCCUUAAAAUCUAAUACCCGGGUAUUACAUUCAGGAAGCCCGAAAACCCCAAAUAUAUAUUUUUUCAUUUUUCUUUUUUUUUUUGGUUUAACUAACUCCAAAAGGUUGGAAAAGAGUUCCUACAAAGGUUUUGGACAGUGAUUUUAACCCUAACGCCAAAAAACUUAAACCUUACCCUAGCCUUAAAAUCUAAUACCCGGGUAUUACCUUCAGGAAGCCCGAACACCCCAAAUAUUUUUUUUUCAUUUUACAUUUUUUUUGGUUUAACUAACUCCAAAAGGUUGGAAAAGAGUUCCUACAAAGGUUUUGGACAGUGAUUUUAAACCUAACGCCAAAAAACAUAAACCUUACCCUAGCCUUAAAAUCUAAUACCCAGGUAUUACAUUCAGGAAGCCCGAAAACCCCAAAUAAUAUUUUUUUUCAUUUUUCAUUUUUUUUUUUGGUCUAACUAACUCCAAAAGGUUGGAAAAGAGUUCCUACAAAGGUUUUGGACAGUGAUUUUAACCCUAACGCCAAAAAACUUAAACCUUACCCUAGCCACAAAACCUAAUACCUGGGUAUUACUUUUAGGAAGCCUGAACUCCCCAAAUAUUUUUUUUUCAUUUUUCUUUUUUUUUUGGUCUAACUAACUCCAAAAGGUUGGAAAAGAGUUCCUACAAAGGUUUUGGACAGUGAUUUUAACCCUAACGCCAAAAACCUUAAACCUUUCCCCAGUCCCAAAACCUAAUACCUGGGUAUUACCUUCAGGAAGCCCGAAAACCCCCAAUAAUAUUUUUUUCUUUUUUCAUAUUUUUUGGUCUAACUAACUCCAAAAGGUUGGAAAAGAGUUCCUACAAAGGUUUUGGACAGUGAUUUUAACCCUAACGCCAAAAAACUUAAACCUUUCCCUGGCCUUAAAAUCUAAUAACCGGGUAUUACAUUCAGGAAGCCCGUAAACCCCAAAUAUUUUUUUUUUCAUUUUUCAUUUUUUUUUUGGUCUAACUAACUCCAAAAGGUUGAAAAAGAGUUCCUACAAAGGUUUUGGACAGUGAUUUUAAACCUAACGCCAAAACAUUAAACCUUACCAUAGCCCCAAAACCUAAUACGUAUUACUUUUAGGAAGCCUGAACACCCCAAAUAUUUUUUUUUCAUUUUUCUUUUUUUUUUUGGUCUAACUAACUCCAAAAGGUUGGAAAAGAGUUCCUACAAAGGUUUUGGACAGUGAUUUUAACCCUAACGCCAAAAAACUUAAACCUUACCAUAGCCCCAAAACCUAAUACCCGGGUAUUACUUUCAGGAAGCCCGAAAACCCCCAAUAAUAUUUUUUUCUUUUUUCAUUUUUUUUGGUCUAACUAACUCCAAAAGGUUGGAAAAGAGUUCCUACAAAGGUUUUGGACAGUGAUUUUAACCCUAACGCCAAAAACUUAAACCUUACCAUAGCCCCAAAACCUAAUACUCGGGUAUUACAUUCAGGAAGCCCGUAAACAGUGAUUUUAACCCUAACGCCAAAAAACUUAAACCUUUCCCUGGCCUUAAAAUCUAAUACCCGGGUAUUACAUUCAGGAAGCCCGUAAACCCCAAAUAUUUUUUUUUUCAUUUUUCAUUUUUUUUUUGGUCUAACUAACUCCAAAAGGUUGAAAAAGAGUUCCUACAAAGGUUUUGGACAGUGAUUUUAACCCUAACGCCAAAACCUUAAACCUUACCAUAGCCCCAUAACCUAAUACCCGGGUAUUACUUUUAGGAAGCCUGAACACCCCAAAUAUUUUUUUUUCAUUUUUCUUUUUUUUUUGGUCUAACUAACUCCAAAAGGUUGGAAAAGAGUUCCUACAAAGGUUUUGGACAGUGAUUUUAACCCUAACGCCAAAACCCUUAAACCUUUCCCUAGUCCCAAAACCUAAUACCCGGGUAUUACUUUCAGGGAGCCCGAAAACCCCCAAUAAUAUUUUUUUCUUUUUUCAUAUUUUUUGGUCUAACUAACUCCAAAAGGUUGGAAAAGAGUUCCUACAAAGGUUUUGGACAGUGAUUUUAACCCUAACGCCAAAAACCUUAAACCUUACCCUAGCCUUGAAAUGUAAUACCCGGGUAUUACCUUCAGGAAGCCUGAACACCCCAAAUAUUUUUUUUCAUUUUACAUUUUUGUUGGUGUAACCAACUCCAAAAGGUUGGAAAAGAGUUCCUACAAAGGUUUUGGACAGUGAUUUUAACCCUAAUGCCAAAAAACUUAAACCUUACCCUAGCCUCAAAAUCUAAUACCCGGGUAUUACAUUCAGGAACCCCGAAAACCCCAAAUAUUGUUUUUUAAUUUUUCAUUUUUUUUUUGGUUUAACUAACUCCAAAAGGUUGGAAAAGAGUUCCUACAAAGGUUUUGGACAGUGAUUUUAACCCUAACGCCAAAAAACUUAAACCUUACCCUAGCCUUAAAAUCUAAUACCCGGGUAUUACCUUCAGGAAGCCCGAACACCCCAAAUAUUUUUUUUUCAUUUUACAUUUUUUUUGGUCUAACUAACUCCAAAAGGUUGGAAAAGAGUUCCUACAAAGGUUUUGGACAGUGAUUUCAACCCUAACGCCAAAAAACUUAAACCUUACCCUAGCUUUAUAAUCUAACACACGGGUAUUACGUUCAGGAAGCCCGAAAAACCCCAAAUAUAUAUUUUUUCAUUUUUCUUUUUUUUUUGGUCUAACUAACUCCAAAAGGUUGGAAAAGAGUUCCUACAAAGGUUUUGGACAGUGAUUUUAACCCUAACGCCAAAAAACUUAAACCUUACCCUCGCCUUAAAAUCUAAUACCCGGGUAUUACAUUCAGGAAGCCCGAAAACCCCAAAUAUUUUUUUUUCAUUUUUCAUUUUUUUUGGUCUAACUAACUCCAAAAGGUUGGAAAAGAGUUCCUACAAAGGUUUUGGACAGUGAUUUUAACCCUAACGCCAAAAAACUUAAACCUUACCCUAGCCCCAAAACCUAAUACCCGGGUAUUACUUUCAGGAAGCCUGAAAACCCCAAAUAUUUUUUUUUCAUUUUUCUUUUUUUUUUGGUCUAACUAACUCCAAAAGGUUGGAAAAGAGUUCCUACAAAGGUUUUGGACAGUGAUUUUAACCCUAACGCCAAAAACCUUAAACCUUUCCCCAGUCCCAAAACCUAAUACCCGGGUAUUACCUUCAGGAAGCCCGAAAACCCCCAAUAAUAUUUUUUUCUUUUUUCAUAUUUUUUGGUCUAACUAACUCCAAAAGGUUGGAAAAGAGUUCCUACAAAGGUUUUGGACAGUGAUUUUAACCCUAACGCCAAAAAACUUAAACCUUUCCCUGGCCUUAAAAUCUAAUACCCGGGUAUUACAUUCAGGAAGCCCGUAAAACCCCAAAUAUUUUUUUUUUCAUUUUUCAUUUUUUUUUUGGUCUAACUAACUCCAAAAGGUUGAAAAAGAGUUCCUACAAAGGUUUUGGACAGUGAUUUUAACCCUAACGCCAAAAAACUUAAACCUUACCAUAGCCCCAAAACCUAAUACCCGGGUAUUACUUUUAGGAAGCCUGAACACCCCAAAUAUUUUUUUUUCAUUUUUCUUUUUUUUUUUGGUCUAACUAACUCCAAAAGGUUGGAAAAGAGUUCCUACAAAGGUUUUGGACAGUGAUUUUAACCCUAACGCCAAAAAACUUAAACCUUACCAUAGCCCCAAAACCUAAUACCCGGGUAUUACUUUCAGGGAGCCCGAAAACCCCCAAUAAUAUUUUUUUCUUUUUUCAUAUUUUUUGGUCUAACUAACUCCAAAAGGUUGGAAAAGAGUUCCUACAAAGGUUUUGGACAGUGAUUUUAACCCUAACGCCAAAAAACUUAAACCUUACCAUAGCCCCAAAACCUAAUACUCGGGUAUUACAUUCAGGAAGCCCGUAAACAGUGAUUUUAACCCUAACGCCAAAAAACUUAAACCUUUCCCUGGCCUUAAAAUCUAAUACCCGGGUAUUACAUUCAGGAAGCCCGUAAACCCCAAAUAUUUUUUUUUUCAUUUUUCAUUUUUUUUUUGGUCUAACUAACUCUAAAAGGUUGUUAAAGAGUUCCUACAAAGGUUUUGGACAGUGAUUUUAACCCUAACGCCAAAACGUUAAACCUUACCAUAGCCCCAUAACCUAAUACCUGGGUAUUACUUUUAGGAAGCCUGAACACCCCAAAUAUUUUUUUUUCAUUUUUCUUUUUUUUUUUUUUGGUCUAACUAACUCCAAAAGGUUGGAAAAGAGUUCCUACAAAGGUUUUGGACAGUGAUUUUAACCCUAACGCCAAAACCCUUAAACCUUUCCCUAGUCCCAAAACCUAAUACCCGGGUAUUACUUUCAGGGAGCCCGAAAACCCCCAAUAAUUUUUUUUUCUUUUUUCAUUUUUUUUGGUCUAACUAACUCCAAAAGGUUGGAAAAGAGUUCCUACAAAGGUUUUGGACAGUGAUUUUAACCCUAACGCCAAAAACCUUAAACCUUACCCUAGCCUUGAAAUGUAAUACCCGGGUAUUACCUUCAGGAAGCCUGAACACCCCAAAUAUUUUUUCUUCAUUUUACAUUUCUGUUGGUGUAACCAACUCCAAAAGGUUGGAAAAGAGUUCCUACAAAGGUUUUGGACAGUGAUUUUAACCCUAACGCCAAAAAACUUAAACCUUACCCUAGCCUCAAAAUCUAAUACCCGGGUAUUACAUUCAGGAACCCCGAAAACCCCAAAUAUUGUUUUUUAAUUUUUCAUUUUUUUUUUGGUCUAACUAACUCCAAAAGGUUGGAAAAGAGUUCCUACAAAGGUUUUGGACAGUGAUUUUAACCCUAACGCCAAAAAACUUAAACCUUACCCUAGCCUUAAAAUCUAAUACCCGGGUAUUACCUUCAGGAAGCCCGAACACCCCAAAUAUUUUUUUUUCAUUUUACAUUUUUUUGGUCUAACUAACUCCAAAAGGUUGGAAAAGAGUUCCUACAAAGGUUUUGGACAGUGAUUUUAACCCUUACGCCAAAAAACUUAAACCUUACCCUAGCCUUAAAAUCUAAUACCCGGGUAUUACAUUCAGGAAGCCCGAAAACCCCAAAUAUAUAUUUUUUAAUUUUUCUUUUUUUUUUUGUUUAACUAACUCCAAAAGGUUGGAAAAGAGUUCCUACAAAGGUUUUGGACAGUGAUUUUAACCCUAACGCCAAAAAACAUUAAACCUUACCCUCGCCUUUAAAUCUAAUACCCAGGUAUUACAUUCAGGAAGCCCGAAAACCCCAAAUAUAUAUUUUUUCUCAUUUUUCAUUUUUUUUUGGUCUAACUAACUCCAAAAGGUUGGAAAAGAGUUCCUACAAAGGUUUUGGACAGUGAUUUUAACCCUAACGCCAAAAAACUUAAACCUUACCCUAGCCCCAAACCUAAUACCUGGGUAUUACUUUUAGGAAGCCUGAACACCCCAAAUAUUUUUUUUUCAUUUUUCUUUUUUUUUGGUCUAACUAACUCCAAAAGGUUGGAAAAGAGUUCCUACAAAGGUUUUGGACAGUGAUUUUAACCCUAACGCCAAAAACAUUAAACCUUUCCCUAGUCCCAAAACCGAAUCCCUGGGUAUUACUUUCAGGGAGCCCGAAAACCCCCAAUAAUAUUUUUUUCUUUUUUCAUAUUUUUUGGUCUAACUAACUCCAAAAGGUUGGAAAAGAGUUCCUACAAAGGUUUUGGACAGUGAUUUUAACCCUAACGCCAAAAAAAUUAAACCUUUCCCUGGCCUUAAAAUCUAAUGCCCGGGUAUUACAUUCAGGAAGCCCGUAAACCCCAAAUAUUUUUUUUUUCAUUUUUCAUUUUUUUUUUUUUGGUCUAACUAACUCCAAAAGGUUGAAAAAGAGUUCCUACAAAGGUUUUGGACAGUGAUUUUAACCCUAACGCCAAAAAGUUAAACCUUACCAUAGCCCCAUAAUCUAAUAUUCGGGUAUUACUUUCAGGAAGCCUGAACACCCCAAAUAUUUUUUAUUCAUUUCUCUUUUUUUUUUGGUCUAACUAACUCCAAAAGGUUGGAAAAGAGUUCCUACAAAGGUUUUGGACAGUGAUUUUAACCCUAACGCCAAAAAACUUAAACCUUACCAUAGCCCCAAAACCUAAUACCCGGGUAUUACUUUCAGGAAGCCCGAAAACCCCCAAUAAUAUUUUUUUCUUUUUUCAUACUUUUUGGUCUAACUAACUCCAAAAGGUUGGAAAAGAGUUCCUACAAAGGUUUUGGACAGUGAUUUUAACCCUAACGCCAAAAAACUUAAACCUUACCCUAGCCUUAAAAUCUAAUACCCGGGUAUUACAUUCAGGAAGCCCGAAAACCCCAAAUAUUUUUUUUCAUUUUUCAUUUUUUUUGGUCUAACUAACUCCAAAAGGUUGGAAAAGAGUUCCUACAAAGGUUUUGGACAGUGAUUUUAACCCUAACGCCAAAAAACUUAAACCUUUCCCUGGCCUUAAAAUCUAAUACCCGGGUAUUACAUUCAGGAAGCCCGUAAACCCCAAAUAUUUUUUUUUUCAUUUUUCAUUUUUUUUUGGUCUAACUAACUCCAAAAGGUUGGAAAAGAGUUCCUACAAAGGUUUUGGACAGUGAUUUUAACCCUAACGCCAAAAACUUAAACCUUACCAUAGCCCCAUAACCUAAUACCCGGGUAUUACUUUUAGGAAGCCCGAACACCCCAAAUAUAUUUUUUUUCAUUUUUCUUUUUUUUUUGGUCUAACUAACUCCAAAAGGUUGGAAAAGAGUUCCUACAAAGGUUUUGGACAGUGAUUUUAACCCUAACGCCAAAAAACUUAAACCUUUCCCUAGUCCCAAAACCUAAUACACGGGUAUUACUUUCAGGGAGCCCGAAAACCCCCAAUAUUUUUUUUUUCAUUUUUCUUUUUUUUUUGGUCUAACUAACUCCAAAAGGUUGGAAAAGAGUUCCUACAAAGGUUUUGGACAGUGAUUUUAACCCUAACGCCAAAAAACUUAAACCUUACCAUAGCCCCAAAACCUAAUACCCGGGUAUUACUUCAGGGAGCCCGAAAACCCCAAAUAUUUUUUUUUCAUUUUUCAUUUUUUUUUUGGUCUAACUAACUCCAAAAGGUUGGAAAAGAGUUCCUACAAAGGUUUUGGACAGUGAUUUUAACCCUAACGCCAAAAAACUUAAACCUUACCAUAGCCCCAUAACCUAAUACCCGGGUAUUACUUUCAGGAAGCCCGAACACCCCAAAUAUAUUUUUUUUCAUUUUUCUUUUUUUUUUGGUCUAACUAACUCCAAAAGGUUGGAAAAGAGUUCCUACAAAGGUUUUGGACAGUGAUUUUAACCCUAACGCCAAAACCCUUAAACCUUUCCCUAGUCCCAAAACCUAAUACCCGGGUAUUACUUUCAGGAAGCCCGAAAACCCCAAAUAUUUUUUUUUUCAUUUUUCUUUUUUUUUGGUCUAACUAACUCCAAAAGGUUGGAAAAGAGUUCCUACAAAGGUUUUGGACAGUGAUUUUAAACCUAACGCCAAAAACCUUAAACCUUACCAUAGCCCCAUAACCUAAUACCCGGGUAUUACUUUCAGGAAGCCCGAACACCCCAAAUAUUUUUUUUUUCAUUUUUCUUUUUUUUUUUGGUCUAACUAACUCCAAAAGGUUGGAAAAGAGUUCCUACAAAGGUUUUGGACAGUGAUUUUAACCCUAACGCCAAAAAACUUAAACCUUACCAUAGCCCCAAAACCUAAUACCCGGGUAUUACAUUCAGGAAGCCCGAAAACCCCCAAUAAUAUUUUUUUCUUUUUUCAUAUUUUUUGGUCUAACUAACUCCAAAAGGUUGGAAAAGAGUUCCUACAAAGGUUUUGGACAGUGAUUUUAACCCUAACGCCAAAAAACUUAAACCUUACCAUAGCCCCAAAACCUAAUACCCGGGUAUUACUUUCAGGGAGCCCGAAAACCCCCAAUAAUAUUUUUUUUUUUUCAUACUUUUUGGUCUAACUAACUCCAAAAGGUUGGAAAAGAGUUCCUACAAAGGUUUUGGACAGUGAUUUUAACCCUAACGCCAAAAACCUUAAACCUUACCCUAGCCUUAAAAUCUAAUACCGGGGUAUUACCUUCAGGAAGCCCGAACACCCCAAAUAUUUUUUUUUCAUUUUUCAUUUUUUUUGGUCUAACUAACUCCAAAAGGUUGGAAAAGAGUUCCUACAAAGGUUUUGGACAGUGAUUUUAACCCUAACGCCAAAAAACUUAAACCUUACCAUAGUCCCAAAACCUAAUACCCGGGUAUUACUUUCAGGAAGCCCGAAAACCCCCAAUAAUAUUUUUUUCUUUUUUCAUACUUUUUGGUCUAACUAACUCCAAAAGGUUGGAAAAGAGUUCCUACAAAGGUUUUGGACAGUGAUUUUAACCCUAACGCCAAAAAACUUAAACCUUACCCUAGCCUUAAAAUCUAAUACCCGGGUAUUACCUUCAGGAAGCCCGAACACCCCAAAUAUUUUUUUUUCAUUUUACAUUUUUUUUGGUGUAACCAACUCCAAAAGGUUGGAAAAGAGUUCCUACAAAGGUUUUGGACAGUGAUUUUAACCCUAACGCCAAAAAACUUAAACCUUACCCUAGCCUUAAAAUCUAAUACCCGGGUAUUACAUUCAGGAAGCCCAAAAAACCCCAAAUAUAUAUUUUUUAAUUUUUCUUUUUUUUUUUGGUUUAACUAACUCCAAAAGGUUGGAAAAGAGUUCCUACAAAGGUUUUGGACAGUGAUUUUAACCCUAACGCCAAAAAACAUAAACCUUACCCUCGCCUUAAAAUCUAAUACCCAGGUAUUACAUUCAGGAAGCCCGAAAACCCCAAAUAUAUAUUUUUUCAUUUUUCAUAUUUUUUUGGUCUAUCUAAUUCCAAAAGGUUGGAAAAGUGUUCCUACAAAGGUUUUGGACAGUGAUUUUAACCCUAAUGCCAAAAAACUUAAACCUUACCCUAGCCCAAAACCUAAUACCUGGGUAUUACUUUUAGGAAGCCUGAACACCCCAAAUAUUUUUUUUUCAUUUUUCUUUUUUUUUUGGUCUAACUAACUCCAAAAGGUUGGAAAAGAGUUCCUACAAAGGUUUUGGACAGUGAUUUUAACCCUAACGCCAAAAACCUUAAACCUUUCCCCAGUCCCAAAACCUAAUACCUGGGUAUUACCUUCAGGAAGCCCGAAAACCCCCAAUAAUAUUUUUUUCUUUUUUCAUAUUUUUUGGUCUAACUAACUCCAAAAGGUUGGAAAAGAGUUCCUACAAAGGUUUUGGACAGUGAUUUUAACCCUAACGCCAAAAAACUUAAACCUUUCCCUAGCCUUAAAAUCUAAUACCCGGGUAUUACAUUCAGGAAGCCCGAAAACCCCAAAUAUUUUUUUUUUCAUUUUUCAUUUUUUUUUUGGUCUAACUAACUCCAAAAGGUUGGAAAAGAGUUCCUACAAAGGUUUUGGACAGUGAUUUUAACCCUAACGCCAAAAACCUUAAACCUUACCAUAGCCCCAAAACCUAAUACCCGGGUAUUACUUUUAGGAAGCCUGAACACCCCAAAUAUUUUUUUUUCAUUUUUCUUUUUUUUUUUGGUCUAACUAACUCCAAAAGGUUGGAAAAGAGUUCCUACAAAGGUUUUGGACAGUGAUUUUAACCCUAACGCCAAAACUUAAACCUUACCAUAGCCCCAAAACCUAAUACCCGGGUAUUACUUUCAGGUAGCCCGAAAACCCCCAAUAAUAUUUUUUUCUUUUUUCAUAUUUUUUGGUCUAACUAACUCCAAAAGGUUGGAAAAGAGUUCCUACAAAGGUUUUGGACAGUGAUUUUAACCCUAACGCCAAAAAACUUAAACCUUACCAUAGCCCCAAAACCUAAUACUCGGGUAUUACAUUCAGGAAGCCCGUAAACAGUGAUUUUAACCCUAACGCCAAAAAACUUAAACCUUUCCCUGGCCUUAAAAUCUAAUACCCGGGUAUUACAUUCAGGAAGCCCGUAAACCCCAAAUAUUUUUUUUUUCAUUUUUCAUUUUUUUUGGUCUAACUAACUCCAAAAGGUUGAAAAACAGUUCCUACAAAGGUUUUGGACAGUGAUUUUAACCCUAACGCCAAAAACCUUAAACCUUACCAUAGCCCCAUGACCUAAUACCCGGGUAUUACUUUUAGGAAGCCUGAACAUCCCAAAUAUAUAUUUUUUUAAUUUUUCAUUUUUUUUUGGUCUAACUAACUCCAAAAGGUUGGAAAAGAGUUCCUACAAAGGUUUUGGACAGUGAUUUUAACCCUAACGCCAAAAAACUUAAACCUUACCCUCGCCUUAAAAUCUAAUACCCAGGUAUUACAUUCAGGAAGCCCGAAAACCCCAAAUAUAUAUUUUUUCAUUUUUCAUAUUUUUUUGGUUUAUCUAAUUCCAAAAGGUUGGAAAAGUGUUCCUACAAAGGUUUUGGACAGGGAUUUUAACCCUAACGCCAAAAAACUUAAACCUUACCCUAGCCACAAAACCUAAUACCUGGGUAUUACUUUUAGGAAGCCUGAACUCCCCAAAUAUUUUUUUUUCAUUUUUCUUUUUUUUUUUGGUCUAACUAACUCCAAAAGGUUGGAAAAGAGUUCCUACAAAGGUUUUGGACAGUGAUUUUAACCCUAACGCCAAAAACCUUAAACCUUUCCCCAGUCCCAAAACCUAAUACCCGGGUAUUACCUUCAGGAAGCCCGAAAACCCCCAAUAAUAUUUUUUUCUUUUUUCAUUUUUUUUGGUCUAACUAACUCCAAAAGGUUGGAAAAGAGUUCCUACAAAGGUUUUGGACAGUGAUUUUAACCCUAACGCCAAAAAACUUAAACCUUUCCCUAGCCUUAAAAUCUAAUACCCGGGUAUUACAUUCAGGAAGCCCGAAAACCCCAAAUAUUUUUUUUUCAUUUUUCAUUUUUUUUUGGUCUAACUAACUCCAAAAGGUUGGAAAAGAGUUCCUACAAAGGUUUUGGACAGUGAUUUUAACCCUAACGCCAAAAAACUUAAACCUUACCAUAGCCCCAAAACCUAAUACCCGGGUAUUACUUUUAGGAAGCCUGAACACCCCAAAUAUUUUUUUUCAUUUUUCUUUUUUUUUUUGGUCUAACUAACUCCAAAAGGUUGGAAAAGAGUUCCUACAAAGGUUUUGGACAGUGAUUUUAACCCUAACGCCAAAAAACUUAAACCUUACCAUAGCCCCAAAACCUAAUACCCGGGUAUUACUUUCAGGGAGCCCGAAAACCCCCAAUAAUAUUUUUUUCUUUUUUCAUAUUUUUUGGUCUAACUAACUCCAAAAGGUUGGAAAAGAGUUCCUACAAAGGUUUUGGACAGUGAUUUUAACCCUAACGCCAAAAAACUUAAACCUUACCAUAGCCCCAAAACCUAAUACCCGGGUAUUACAUUCAGGAAGCCCGUAAACAGUGAUUUUAACCCUAACGCCAAAAAACUUAAACCUUUCCCUGGCCUUAAAAUCUAAUACCCGGGUAUUACAUUCAGGAAGCCCGAAAACCCCAAAUAUUUUUUUUUUCAUUUUUCAUUUUUUUUUUUGGUCUAACUAACUCCAAAAGGUUGGAAAAGAGUUCCUACAAAGGUUUUGGACAGUGAUUUUAACCCUAACGCCAAAAACCUUAAACCUUACCAUAGCCCCAUGACCUAAUACCCGGGUAUUACUUUUAGGAAGCCUGAACAUCCCAAAUAUAUAUUUUUUUAAUUUUUCAUUUUUUUUUGGUCGAACUAAAUCCAAAAGGUUGUUAAAGAGUUCCUACAAAGGUUUUGGACAGUGAUUUUAAACCUAACGCCAAAACGUUAAACCUUACCAUAGCCCCAUAACCUAAUUCCUGGGUAUUACUUUUAGGAAGCCUGAACACCCCAAAUAUUUUUUUUUCAUUUUUCUUUUUUUUUUGGUCUAACUAACUCCAAAAGGUUGGAAAAGAGUUCCUACAAAGGUUUUGGACAGUGAUUUUAACCCUAACGCCAAAACCCUUAAACCUUUCCCUAGUCCCAAAACCUAAUACACGGGUAUUACUUUCAGGGAGCCCGAAAACCCCCAAUAAUAUUUUUUUCUUUUUUCAUACUUUUUGGUCUAACUAACUCCAAAAGGUUGGAAAAGAGUUCCUACAAAGGUUUUGGACAGUGAUUUUAACCCUAACGCCAAAAAACUUAAACCUUACCCUAGCCUUAAAAUCUAAUACCCGGGUAUUACCUUCAGGAAGCCCGAACACCCCAAAUAUUUUUUUGUUCAUUUUACAUUUUUGUUGGUGUAACCAACUCCAAAAGGUUGGAAAAGAGUUCCUACAAAGGUUUUGGACAGUGAUUUUAACCCUAACGCCAAAAAACUUAAACCUUACCCUAGCCUUAAAAUCUAAUACCCGGGUAUUACAUUCAGGAAGCCCAAAAAACCCCAAAUAUAUAUUUUUUAAUUUUUCUUUUUUUUUUUGGUUUAACUAACUCCAAAAGGUUGGAAAAGAGUUCCUACAAAGGUUUUGGACAGUGAUUUUAACCCUAACGCCAAAAAACUUAAACCUUACCCUCGCCUUAAAAUCUAAUACCCAGGUAUUACAUUCAGGAAGCCCGAAAACCCCAAAUAUUUUUUUUUCAUUUUUCAUAUUUUUUUGGUCUAACUAACUCCAAAAGGUUGGAAAAGAGUUCCUACAAAGGUUUUGGACAGUGAUUUUAACCCUAACGCCAAAAAACUUAAACCUUACCCUAGCCACAAAACCUAAUACCUGGGUAUUACUUUUAGGAAGCCUGAACUCCCCAAAUAUUUUUUUUUCAUUUUUCUUUUUUUUUUGGUCUAACUAACUCCAAAAGGUUGGAAAAGAGUUCCUACAAAGGUUUUGGACAGUGAUUUUAACCCUAACGCCAAAAACCUUAAACCUUUCCCCAGUCCCAAAACCUAAUACCUGGGUAUUACCUUCAGGAAGCCCGAAAACCCCCAAUAAUAUUUUUUUCUUUUUUCAUAUUUUUUGGUCUAACUAACUCCAAAAGGUUGGAAAAGAGUUCCUACAAAGGUUUUGGACAGUGAUUUUAACCCUAACGCCAAAAAACUUAAACCUUUCCCUGGCCUUAAAAUCUAAUACCCGGGUAUUACAUUCAGGAAGCCCGUAAACCCCAAAUAAUUUUUUUUUCAUUUUUCAUUUUUUUUUUUGGUCUAACUAACUCCAAAAGGUUGGAAAAGAGUUCCUACAAAGGUUUUGGACAGUGAUUUUAACCCUAACGCCAAAAACCUUAAACCUUACCAUAGCCCCAUAACCUAAUACCCGGGUAUUACUUUUAGGAAGCCUGAACACCCCAAAUAUAUUUUUUUCUUUUUCAUUUUUUUUUGGUCUAACUAACUCCAAAAGGUUGGAAAAGAGUUCCUACAAAGGUUUUGGACAGUGAUUUUAACCCUAACGCCAAAAAACUUAAACCUUACCAUAGCCCCAAAACCUAAUACCCGGGUAUUACUUUCAGGGAGCCCGAAAACCCCAAAUAAUAUUUUUUUCUUUUUUCAUAUUUUUUGGUCUAACUAACUCCAAAAGGUUGGAAAAGAGUUCCUACAAAGGUUUUGGACAGUGAUUUUAACCCUAACGCCAAAAAACUUAAACCUUACCAUAGCCCCAAAACCUAAUACCCGGGUAUUACAUUCAGGAAGCCCGUAAACAGUGAUUUUAACCCUAACGCCAAAAAACUUAAACCUUUCCCUGGCCUUAAAAUCUAAUACCCGGGUAUUACAUUCAGGAAGCCCGUAAACCCCAAAUAUUUUUUUUUUCAUUUUUCAUUUUUUUUUUGGUCUAACUAACUCCAAAAGGUUGAAAAAGAGUUCCUACAAAGGUUUUGGACAGUGAUUUUAACCCUAACGCCAAAAACCUUAAACCUUACCAUAGCCCCAUGACCUAAUACCCGGGUAUUACUUUCAGGAAGCCUGAACACCCCAAAUAUAUUUUUUUUAAUUUUUCAUUUUUUUUUGGUCUAACUAAAUCCAAAAGGUUGUUAAAGAGUUCCUACAAAGGUUUUGGACAGUGAUUUUAAACCUAACGCCAAAACGUUAAACCUUACCAUAGCCCCAUAACCUAAUUCCUGGGUAUUACUUUUAGGAAGCCUGAACACCCCAAAUAUUUUUUUUUUCAUUUUUCUUAUUUUUUGGUCUAACUAACUCCAAAAGGUUGGAAAAGAGUUCCUACAAAGGUUUUGGACAGUGAUUUUAACCCUAACGCCAAAAAACUUAAACCUUUCCCUAGUCCCAAAACCUAAUACACGGGUAUUACUUUCAGGAAGCCCGAAAACCCCCAAUAAUAUUUUUUUCUUUUUUCAUAUUUUUUGGUCUAACUAACUCCAAAAGGUUGGAAAAGAGUUCCUACAAAGGUUUUGGACAGUGAUUUUAACCCUAACGCCAAAAACCUUAAACCUUACCCUAGCCUUGAAAUGUAAUACCCGGGUAUUACCUUCAGGAAGCCUGAACACCCCAAAUAUUUUUUCUUCAUUUUACAUUUCUGUUGGUGUAACCAACUCCAAAAGGUUGGAAAAGAGUUCCUACAAAGGUUUUGGACAGUGAUUUUAACCCUAAUGCCAAAAAACUUAAACCUUACCCUAGCCUCAAAAUCUAAUACCCGGGUAUUACAUUCAGGAACCCCGAAAACCCCAAAUAUUGUUUUUUAAUUUUUCAUUUUUUUUUGGUCUAACUAACUCCAAAAGGUUGAAAAAGAGUUCCUACAAAGGUUUUGGACAGUGAUUUUAACCCUAACGCCAAAAACUUAAACCUUACCAUAGCCCCAAAACCUAAUACCCGGGUAUUACUUUCAGGGAGCCCGAAAACCCCCAAUAAUAUUUUUUUCAUUUUUCUUUUUUUUUUGGUCUAACUAACUCCAAAAGGUUGGAAAAGAGUUCCUACAAAGGUUUUGGACAGUGAUUUUAACCCUAACGCCAAAAACUUUAAACCUUACCCUAGCCUUAAAAUCUAAUACCCAGGUAUUACUUUCAGGAAGCCUGAACACCCCAAAUAUUUUUUUUUCAUUUUUCAUUUUUUUUUUGGUCUAACUAACUCCAAAAGGUUGGAAAAGAGUUCCUACAAAGGUUUUGGACAGUGAUUUUAACCCUAACGCCAAAAACUUAAACCUUACCAUAGCCCCAUAACCUAAUACGUAUUACUUUUAGGAAGCCUGAACACCCCAAUAAUUUUUUUUAAUUUUUCUUUUUUUUUUUGGUCUAACUAACUCCAAAAGGUUGGAAAAGAGUUCCUACAAAGGUUUUGGACAGUGAUUUUAACCCUAAUGCCAAAAAACUUAAACCUUACCAUAGCCCCAAAACCUAAUACCCGGGUAUUACUUUCAGGGAGCCCGAAAACCCCCAAUAAUAUUUUUUUCUUUUUUCAUAUUUUUUGGUCUAACUAACUCCAAAAGGUUGGAAAAGAGUUCCUACAAAGGUUUUGGACAGUGAUUUUAACCCUAACGCCAAAAAACUUAAACCUUACCAUAGCCCCAAAACCUAAUACCCGGGUAUUACUUUCAGGAAGCCCGAAAACCCCCAAUAAUAUUUUUUUCUUUUUCAUACUUUUUGGUCUAACUAACUCCAAAAGGUUGGAAAAGAGUUCCUACAAAGGUUUUGGACAGUGAUUUUAACCCUAACGCCAAAAACCUUAAACCUUACCCUAGCCUUAAAAUCUAAUACCGGGGUAUUACCUUCAGGAAGCCCGAACACCCCAAAUAUUUUUUUGUUCAUUUUACAUUUUUUUUGGUCUAACUAACUCCAAAAGGUUGGAAAAGAGUUCCUACAAAGGUUUUGGACAGUGAUUUUAACCCUAACGCCAAAAAACUUAAACCUUACCAUAGUCCCAAAACCUAAUACCCGGGUAUUACUUUCAGGAAGCCCGAAAACCCCCAAUAAUAUUUUUUUCUUUUUUCAUACUUUUUGGUCUAACUAACUCCAAAAGGUUGGAAAAGAGUUCCUACAAAGGUUUUGGACAGUGAUUUUAACCCUAACGCCAAAAAACUUAAACCUUACCCUAGCCUUAAAAUCUAAUACCCGGGUAUUACAUUCAGGAAGCCCAAAAAACCCCAAAUAUAUAUUUUUUAAUUUUUCUUUUUUUUUUUGGUUUAACUAACUCCAAAAGGUUGGAAAAGAGUUCCUACAAAGGUUUUGGACAGUGAUUUUAACCCUAACGCCAAAAAACAUAAACCUUACCCUCGCCUUAAAAUCUAAUACCCAGGUAUUACAUGCAGGAAGCCCGAAAACCCCAAAUAUAUAUUUUUUCUUUUUUCAUAUUUUUUUGGUCUAACUAACUCCAAAAGGUUGGAAAAGAGUUCCUACAAAGGUUUUGGACAGUGAUUUUAACCCUAACGCCAAAAAACUUAAACCUUACCCUAGCCCCAUAACCUAAUACCCGGGUAUUACUUUUAGGAAGCCUGAAAACCCCCAAAUAUUUUUUUUUCAUUUUUCUUUUUUUUUUGGUCUAACUAACUCCAAAAGGUUGGAAAAGAGUUCCUACAAAGGUUUUGGACAGUGAUUUUAACCCUAACGCCAAAAACCUUAAACCUUUCCCCAGUCCCAAAACCUAAUACCUGGGUAUUACCUUCAGGAAGCCCGAAAACCCCCAAUAAUAUUUUUUUCUUUUUUCAUAUUUUUUGGUCUAACUAACUCCAAAAGGUUGGAAAAGAGUUCCUACAAAGGUUUUGGACAGUGAUUUUAACCCUAACGCCAAAAAACUUAAACCUUUCCCUGGCCUUAAAAUCUAAUACCCGGGUAUUACAUUCAGGAAGCCCGAAACCCCAAAUAUUUUUUUUUUCAUUUUUCAUUUUUUUUUGGUCUAACUAACUCCAAAAGGUUGGAAAAGAGUUCCUACAAAGGUUUUGGACAGUGAUUUUAAACCUAACGCCAAAAAACUUAAACCUUACCAUAGCCCCAAAACCUAAUACCCGGGUAUUACUUUCAGGAAGCCUGAACACCCCAAAUAUUUUUUUUUCAUUUUUCUUUUUUUUUUUGGUCUAACUAACUCCAAAAGGUUGGAAAAGAGUUCCUACAAAGGUUUUGGACAGUGAUUUUAACCCUAACGCCAAAAAACUUAAACCUUACCAUAGCCCCAAAACCUAAUACCCGGGUAUUACUUUCAGGGAACCCGAAAAACCCCAAUAAUAUUUUUUUCUUUUUUCAUAUUUUUUGGUCUAACUAACUCCAAAAGGUUGGAAAAGAGUUCCUACAAAGGUUUUGGACAGUGAUUUUAACCCUAACGCCAAAAAACUUAAACCUUACCAUAGCCCCAAAACCUAAUACUCGGGUAUUACAUUCAGGAAGCCCGUAAACAGUGAUUUUAACCCUAACGCCAAAAAACUUAAACCUUUCCCUGGCCUUAAAAUCUAAUACCCGGGUAUUACAUUCAGGAAGCCCGUAAACCCCAAAUAUUUUUUUUUUCAUUUUUCAUUUUUUUUUUGGUCUAACUAACUCCAAAAGUUUGGAAAAGAGUUCCUACAAAGGUUUUGGACAGUGAUUUUAACCCUAACGCCAAAAACCUUAAACCUUACCAUAGCCCCAUGACCUAAUACCCGGGUAUUACUUUUAGGAAGCCUGAACAUCCCAAAUAUAUAUUUUUUUAAUUUUUCAUUUUUUUUUGGUCGAACUAAAUCCAAAAGGUUGUUAAAGAGUUCCUACAAAGGUUUUGGACAGUGAUUUUAAACCUAACGCCAAAACGUUAAACCUUACCAUAGCCCCAUAACCUAAUUCCUGGGUAUUACUUUUAGGAAGCCUGAACACCCCAAAUAUUUUUUUUUCAUUUUUCUUUUUUUUUUUGGUCUAACUAACUCCAAAAGGUUGGAAAAGAGUUCCUACAAAGGUUUUGGACAGUGAUUUUAACCCUAACGCCAAAACCCUUAAACCUUUCCCUAGUCCCAAAACCUAAUACACGGGUAUUACUUUCAGGGAGCCCGAAAACCCCCAAUAAUAUUUUUUUCUUUUUUCAUACUUUUUGGUCUAACUAACUCCAAAAGGUUGGAAAAGAGUUCCUACAAAGGUUUUGGACAGUGAUUUUAACCCUAACGCCAAAAAACUUAAACCUUACCCUAGCCUUAAAAUCUAAUACCCGGGUAUUACCUUCAGGAAGCCCGAACACCCCAAAUAUUUUUUUUUUCAUUUUACAUUUUUUUGGUGUAACUAACUCCAAAAGGUUGGAAAAGAGUUCCUACAAAGGUUUUGGACAGUGAUUUUAACCCUAACGCCAAAAAACUUAAACCUUACCCUAGCCUUAAAAUCUAAUACCCGGGUAUUACAUUCAGGAAGCCCGAAAACCCCAAAUAUAUAUUUUUUCAUUUUUCUUUUUUUUUUUUGGUUUAACUAACUCCAAAAGGUUGGAAAAGAGUUCCUACAAAGGUUUUGGACAGUGAUUUUAACCCUAACGCCAAAAAACUUAAACCUUACCCUAGCCUUAAAACUAAUACCCGGGUAUUACAUUCAGGAAGCCCGAAAACCCCAAAUAUAUAUUUUUUCAUUUUUCAUAUUUUUUUUUUGGUUUAACUAACUCCAAAAGGUUGGAAAAGAGUUCCUACAAAGGUUUUGGACAGUGAUUUUAACCCUAACGCCAAAAAACUUAAACCUUACCCUAGCCACAAAACCUAAUACCUGGGUAUUACUUUUAGGAAGCCCGUAAACCCCAAAUAUUUUUUUUUUCAUUUUUCUUUUUUUUUUGGUCAAACUAACUCCAAAAGGUUGGAAAAGAGUUCCUACAAAGGUUUUGGACAGUGAUUUUAACCCUAACGCCAAAAACCUUAAACCUUUCCCCAGUCCCAAAACCUAAUACCUGGGUAUUACCUUCAGGAAGCCCGAAAACCCCCAAUAAUAUUUUUUUCUUUUUUCAUAUUUUUUGGUCUAACUAACUCCAAAAGGUUGGAAAAGAGUUCCUACAAAGGUUUUGGACAGUGAUUUUAACCCUAACGCCAAAAAACUUAAACCUUUCCCUGGCCUUAAAAUCUAAUACCCGGGUAUUACAUUCAGGAAGCCCGUAAACCCCAAAUAUUUUUUUUUUCAUUUUUCAUUUUUUUUUUGGUCUAACUAACUCCAAAAGGUUGAAAAAGAGUUCCUACAAAGGUUUUGGACAGUGAUUUUAACCCUAACGCCAAAAACCUUAAACCUUACCAUAGCCCCAUAACCUAAUACCCGGGUAUUACUUUUAGGAAGCCUGAACACCCCAAAUAUAUUUUUUUAUUUUUCAUUUUUUUUUGGUCUAACUAACUCCAAAAGGUUGGAAAAGAGUUCCUACAAAGGUUUUGGACAGUGAUUUUAACCCUAACGCCAAAAAACUUAAACCUUACCAUAGCCCCAAAACCUAAUACCCGGGUAUUACUUUCAGGGAGCCCGAAAACCCCAAAUAAUAUUUUUUUCUUUUUUCAUAUUUUUUGGUCUAACUAACUCCAAAAGGUUGGAAAAGAGUUCCUACAAAGGUUUUGGACAGUGAUUUUAACCCUAACGCCAAAAAACUUAAACCUUACCAUAGCCCCAAAACCUAAUACUCGGGUAUUACAUUCAGGAAGCCCGUAAACAGUGAUUUUAACCCUAACGCCAAAAAACUUAAACCUUUCCCUGGCCUUAAAAUCUAAUACCCGGGUAUUACAUUCAGGAAGCCCGUAAACCCCAAAUAUUUUUUUUUUCAUUUUUCAUUUUUUUUUUGGUCUAACUAACUCCAAAAGGUUGAAAAAGAGUUCCUACAAAGGUUUUGGACAGUGAUUUUAACCCUAACGCCAAAAACCUUAAACCUUACCAUAGCCCCAUGACCUAAUACCCGGGUAUUACUUUUAGGAAGCCUGAACACCCCAAAUAUAUUUUUUUUAAUUUUUCAUUUUUUUUUGGUCUAACUAAAUCCAAAAGGUUGGAAAAGAGUUCCUACAAAGGUUUUGGACAGUGAUUUUAAACCUAACGCCAAAACGUUAAACCUUACCAUAGCCCCAUAACCUAAUACCCGGGUAUUACUUUUAGGAAGCCUGAACACCCCAAAUAUUUUUUUUUCAUUUUUCUUAUUUUUUGGUCUAACUAACUCCAAAAGGUUGGAAAAGAGUUCCUACAAAGGUUUUGGACAGUGAUUUUAACCCUAACGCCAAAACCCUUAAACCUUUCCCUAGUCCCAAAACCUAAUACACGGGUAUUACUUUCAGGGAGCCCGAAAACCCCCAAUAAUAUUUUUUUCUUUUUUCAUAUUUUUUGGUCUAACUAACUCCAAAAGGUUGGAAAAGAGUUCCUACAAAGGUUUUGGACAGUGAUUUUAACCCUAACGCCAAAAACCUUAAACCUUACCCUAGCCUUGAAAUCCUAAUACCCGGGUAUUACCUUCAGGAAGCCUGAACACCCCAAAUAUUUUUUCUUCAUUUUACAUUUCUGUUGGUGUAACCAACUCCAAAAGGUUGGAAAAGAGUUCCUACAAAGGUUUUGGACAGUGAUUUUAACCCUAACGCCAAAAAACUUAAACCUUACCCUAGCCUUAAAAUCUAAUACCCGGGUAUUACAUUCAGGAACCCCGAAAACCCCAAAUAUUGUUUUUUAAUUUUUCAUUUUUUUUUUGGUCUAACUAACUCCAAAAGGUUGGAAAAGAGUUCCUACAAAGGUUUUGGACAGUGAUUUUAACCCUAACGCCAAAAAACUUAAACCUUACCAUAGCCCCAAAACCUAAUACCCGGGUAUUACUUUCAGGGAGCCCGAAAACCCCCAAUAAUAUUUUUUUCAUUUUUCUUUUUUUUUUUGGUCUAACUAACUCCAAAAGGUUGGAAAAGAGUUCCUACAAAGGUUUUGGACAGUGAUUUUAACCCUAACGCCAAAAAACUUAAACCUUUCCCUGGCCUUAAAAUCUAAUACCCGGGUAUUACAUUCAGGAAGCCCGUGAACCCCAAAUAUUUUUUUUUCAUUUUUCAUUUUUUUUUGGUCUAACUAACUCUAAAAGGUUGAAAAAGAGUUCCUACAAAGGUUUUGGACAGUGAUUUUAACCCUAACGCCAAAAACCUUAAACCUUACCAUGGCCCCAUGACCUAAUACCCGGGUAUUACUUUUAGGAAGCCUGAACACCCCAAAUAUUUUUUUUCAUUUUCCUUUUUUUUUUGGUCUAACUAACUCCAAAAGGUUGGAAAAGAGUUCCUACAAAGGUUUUGGACAGUGAUUUUAACCCUAACGCCAAAAAACUUAAACCUUACCAUAGCCCCAUAACCUAAUACCCGGGUAUUACUUUCAGGGAGCCCGAAAACCCCCAAUAAUAUUUUUUUCUUUUUUCAUAUUUUUUGGUCUAACUAACUCCAAAAGGUUGGAAAAGAGUUCCUACAAAGGUUUUGGACAGUGAUUUUAACCCUAACGCCAAAAAACUUAAACCUUACCAUAGCCCCAUAACCUAAUACCCGGGUAUUACUUUCAGGGAAGCCCGAAAACCCCCAAUAAUAUUUUUUUCUUUUUUCAUAUUUUUUGGUCUAACUAACUCCAAAAGGUUGGAAAAGAGUUCCUACAAAGGUUUUGGACAGUGAUUUUAACCCUAACGCCAAAAAACUUAAACCUUUCCCUGGCCUUAAAAUCUAAUACCCGGGUAUUACAUUCAGGAAGCCCGUAAACCCCAAAUAUUUUUUUUUCAUUUUUCAUUUUUUUUUUGGUCUAACUAACUCUAAAAGGUUGAAAAAGAGUUCCUACAAAGGUUUUGGACAGUGAUUUUAACCCUAACGCCAAAAACCUUAAACCUUACCAUAGCCCCAUGACCUAAUACCCGGGUAUUACUUUUAGGAAGCCUGAACACCCCAAAUAUUUUUUGUUCAUUUUUCUUUUUUUUUUUGGUCUAACUAACUCCAAAAGGUUGGAAAAGAGUUCCUACAAAGGUUUUGGACAGUGAUUUUAACCCUAACGCCAAAAAACUUAAACCUUUCCCUGGCCUUAAAAUCUAAUACCCGGGUAUUACAUUCAGGAAGCCCGUAAACCCCAAAUAUUUUUUUUUUCAUUUUUCAUUUUUUUUUUGGUCUAACUAACUCCAAAAGGUUGGAAAAGAGUUCCUACAAAGGUUUUGGACAGUGAUUUUAACCCUAACGCCAAAAACCUUAAACCUUACCAUAGUUCCAUAACCUAAUACCCGGGUAUUACUUUUAGGAAGCCUGAACACCCCAAAUAUAUUUUUUUUUUUUUUCAUUUUUUUUUGGUCUAACUAACUCCAAAAGGUUGGAAAAGAGUUCCUACAAAGGUUUUGGACAGUGAUUUUAACCCUAACGCCAAAAACGUUAAACCUUACCAUAGCCCCAUAACCUAAUACCCGGGUAUUACUUUUAGGAAGCCUGAACACCCCAAAUAUUUUUUUUUCAUUUUUCUUUUUUUUUUUGGUCUAACUAACUCCAAAAGGUUGGAAAAGAGUUCCUACAAAGGUUUUGGACAGUGAUUUUAACCCUAACGCCAAAACCCUUAAACCUUUCCCUAGUCCCAAAACCUAAUACCCGGGUAUUACUUUCAGGGAGCCCGAAAACCCCCAAAUAUUUUUUUUUCAUUUUUCAUUUUUUUUUUGGUCUAACUAACUCCAAAAGGUUGAAAAAGAGUUCCUACAAAGGUUUUGGACAGUGAUUUUAACCCUAACGCCAAAAACUUAAACCUUACCAUAGCCCCAUAACCUAAUACCCGUAUUACUUUUAGGAAGCCUGAACACCCCAAAUAUUUUUUUUUCAUUUUUCUUUUUUUUUUUGGUCUAACUAACUCCAAAAGGUUGGAAAAGAGUUCCUACAAAGGUUUUGGACAGUGAUUUUAACCCUAACGCCAAAAAACUUAAACCUUACCAUAGCCCCAAAACCUAAUACCCGGGUAUUACUUUCAGGGAGCCCGAAAACCCCCAAUAAUAUUUUUUUCUUUUUUCAUAUUUUUUGGUCUAACUAACUCCAAAAGGUUGGAAAAGAGUUCCUACAAAGGUUUUGGACAGUGAUUUUAACCCUAACGCCAAAAACUUAAACCUUACCAUAGCCCCAAAACCUAAUACCCGGGUAUUACUUUCAGGGAGCCCGAAAACCCCCAAUAAUAUUUUUUUCUUUUUUCAUACUUUUUGGUCUAACUAACUCCAAAAGGUUGGAAAAGAGUUCCUACAAAGGUUUUGGACAGUGAUUUUAACCCUAACGCCAAAAACCUUAAACCUUACCCUAGCCUUAAAAUCUAAUACCGGGGUAUUACCUUCAGGAAGCCCGAACACCCCAAAUAUUUUUUUGUUCAUUUUACAUUUUUGUUGGUGUAACCAACUCCAAAAGGUUGGAAAAGAGUUCCUACAAAGGUUUUGGACAGUGAUUUUAACCCUAACGCCAAAAAACUUAAACCUUACCCUAGCCUUAAAAUCUAAUACCCGGGUAUUACCUUCAGGAAGCCCGAACACCCCAAAUAUUUUUUUGUUCAUUUUACAUUUUUGUUGGUGUAACCAACUCCAAAAGGUUGGAAAAGAGUUCCUACAAAGGUUUUGGACAGUGAUUUUAACCCUAACGCCAAAAAACUUAAACCUUACCCUAGCCUUAAAAUCUAAUACCCGGGUAUAACAUUCAGGAAGCCCAAAAAACCCCAAAUAUAUAUUUUUUAAUUUUUCUUUUUUUUUUUGGUUUAACUAACUCCAAAAGGUUGGAAAAGAGUUCCUACAAAGGUUUUGGACAGUGAUUUUAACCCUAACGCCAAAAAACAUAAACCUUACCCUCGCCUUAAAAUCUAAUACCCGGGUAUUACAUUCAGGAAGCCCGAAAACCCCAAAUAUAUAUUUUUUCAUUUUUCAUAUUUUUUUGGUUUAUCUAAUUCCAAAAGGUUGGAAAAGUGUUCCUACAAAGGUUUUGGACAGGGAUUUUAACCCUUAUGCCAAAAAACUUAAACCUUACCCUAGCCACAAAACCUAAUACCUGGGUAUUACUUUUAGGAAGCCUGAACUCCCCAAAUAUUUUUUUUUCAUUUUUCUUUUUUUUUUGGUCAAACUAACUCCAAAAGGUUGGAAAAGAGUUCCUACAAAGGUUUUGGACAGUGAUUUUAACCCUAACGCCAAAAACCUUAAACCUUUCCCCAGUCCCAAAACCUAAUACCUGGGUAUUACCUUCAGGAAGCCCGAAAACCCCCAAUAAUAUUUUUUUCUUUUUUCAUAUUUUUUGGUCUUACUAACUCCAAAAAGUUGGAAAAGAGUUCCUACAAAGGUUUUGGCCAGUGAUUUUAACCCUAAUGCCAAAAAACUUAAACCUUUCCCUGGCCUUAAAAUCUAAUACCCGGGUAUUACAUUCAGGAAGCCCGUAAACCCCAAAUAUUUUUUUUUUCAUUUUUCUUUUUUUUUUUUGGUCUAACUAACUCCAAAAGGUUGAAAAAGAGUUCCUACAAAGGUUUUGGACAGUGAUUUUAAACCUAACGCCAAAAACCUUAAACCUUACCAUAGCCCCAUAACCUAAUACCCGGGUAUUACUUUUAGGAAGCCUGAACACCCCAAAUAUAUUUUUUUUAAUUUUUCAUUUUUUUUUGGUCUAACUAACUCCAAAAGGUUGGAAAAGAGUUCCUACAAAGGUUUUGGACAGUGAUUUUAACCCUAACGCCAAAACCCUUAAACCUUUCCCUAGUCCCAAAACCUAAUACACGGGUAUUACUUUCAGGGAGCCCGAAAACCCCCAAUAAUAUUUUUUUCUUUUUUCAUAUUUUUUGGUCUAACUAACUCCAAAAGGUUGGAAAAGAGUUCCUACAAAGGUUUUGACAGUGAUUUUAACCCUUACGCCAAAAACCUUAAACCUUACCCUAGCCUUGAAAUCUAAUACCCGGGUAUUACCUUCAGGAAGCCUGAACACCCCAAAUAUUUUUUUCUUCAUUUUACAUUUUUGUUGGUGUAACCAACUCCAAAAGGUUGGAAAAGAGUUCCUACAAAGGUUUUGGACAGUGAUUUUAACCCUAAUGCCAAAAAACUUAAACCUUACCCUAGCCUCAAAAUCUAAUACCCGGGUAUUACAUUCAGGAACCCCGAAAACCCCAAAUAUUGUUUUUUAAUUUUUCAUAU